UGAUAGCUGAGUAAUAUUCCAUUGUGUAGAUGUACCACAUUUUCUGUAUCCAUUCCUCUGUUGAAGGGCAUCUGGGUUCUUUCCAGCUUCUGGCUAUUAUAAAUAAGGCUGCGAUGAACAUAGUGGAGCACGUGUCUUUUUUAUAUGUUGGGGCAUCUUUUGGGUAUAUGCCCAAGAGAGGUAUAGCUGGAUCCUCAGGCAGUUCAAUGUCCAAUUUUCUGAGGAACCUCCAGACUGAUUUCCAGAAUGGUUGUACCAGUCUGCAACCCCACCAACAAUGGAGGAGUGUUCCUCUUUCUCCGCAUCCUCGCCAGCAUUUGCUGUCACCUGAGUUUUUGAUCUUAGCCAUUCUCACUGGUGUGAGGUGAAAUCUCAUGGUUGUUUUGAUUUGCAUUGGGGAGCAGAUUUCUUAAAACCACAGAUAGAACCUUUUUCGCUCUAUAAAGGACCCAGCGUGUAAUAGUUCCUAUAACUAAGAUUAUAACAUAAGGGCAGAAAAAUCUGUAAGUAUUCUUUUGAAAACUUAGUUAUUUAAAUGAGUGUGUGUGUGUGUGUGUGUAUACAUGUGUGUGUAUAUGUGUCCUUAUGCCUGUGUAUGUGUCACUGUGGACACUCACAUGCCGUGAAGCAUGUGUACAUGCCAGAAGACAACUUUCAGAAGUCAAUUUUCUCAUUUGUAUCUUCUUGAGGCAGAGUCUCUCUGUUUACUGCUAUGCUACACACUCCCGAGUUGUCCUGAGAACAUCUGAGCAAUUUUUCCAUGUUUAACCUUCCCUCUCACCAUGGGGAUGCUAGCACUGCUGGUGUGAGCCUUCACAGUUGAUUGUUUUUCGGUAGGUUUUACAGACUAAUGGGUCCUUUUAAAAAUUUCCCCACUGUUACCUAAGAUGAGAUAUUAGAUAAACUACUAUUUGGAUAUGCUAAUGUAUUCCUUAACUUCUAGUCUGGAUGAGUGUUAUUUACUAUUGUUGUUUAAAAAAUAAAUUGAUCUUAGAUGGCCCAGUGAUUAAGAGAAUUGGCUGCUCUUUCAGAUACCAGUACCAACAGAGCAGGUCACAACUGUCUAUAACUCCAGUGCCUGGGAAACUGACACCUUCCUCUGGCCAUUGGCAGCCACCAGAUACUCAUGUGGUAUAAUGCAUGCAUGCAAGCAAAAUACCCAAAGAGAUAAAAUAAAAAAGCAUAUAAAUGUCUUUUUAAAUGAUAUUCUUCAAAACGUGGAUUUAAAAAGAAUAAGAGAAUCAAAACAAUGUAUCUAAUAGGUUAUUAAAUUUCUAUUGGGUUUUAAAGGCCAAUUAACAGGAGAAAGUGAACAUUUUAUUGUUAAAUUUAUCUAGAUUAUAAAGAGGGCCUUAACAUUUUCUAAUUGUUAAUGCUUUUCAAUCACUCAAUGAGACUAGCUGAAGGGUGUUUUUUUUUUCUCCUCACACUUGUGAUAUAGCUAAGUUCAGAGAAAUGUAUACUGUAAAGGUUCUAGAUACACCAAAAAUUAUUGAUAGUUUCCUUAAUUGGAUAUAUGAUACAUGGAUAAAAGUUUAAGAAAAAAAUAUGGUAAUACUAUUAUGAAGUAUUUUUUAAAAUAAUUUUCAAUAAUCUCAGUCUCCAGGAAAAUAGUCUUACUAAACAAAUUUCAUCUGGGUUAAAUUUAUUUAUUCUUAAAAAAUACAUGCAAAGGUACUUCAUUCCAAACAUUUACAAAUUCAUGAAAUGUUUUUCUUUAGUAUUCUUUCCUUUUCAAAUUUGCAAAGUGGUUUUGGUUUGCAUAAGGAUACCCUAGUUGUUUUUUGUUUUGUUUUUGUUUUUUGUUUUUUCCUAUUCUCCUCUGUAUGUACCAGAGAGUGGCACAGUGUUUGUUUGGAAUUUUUGAUAUAAGUAAUAAUUUUACUUAUUUUCAUUUUAUAUUUGGCAAUGAGACAUAUAUGGCAAAUGAGACAAUGAAAGCAAAUCUUAUAGGAAAAAAAUACUAAACAAAAUAAACAUCAUUUGAAGAGUAGUGAUCAAAUAAAAGGCUUCAGUUCACAAUUAACUUUUCGGUUCUGUUGAGGAAAGAUGAAAAUAAAACAUUGCUGCAUCCCAGUAAAUAAGUUAGGAGAAUUAAUACACACGUCAAUCAAAAUGUGAUGCCAGUUAACAUGGGAGGAACCAGAUAUCAUUGAAAUCAACUACCAAAGGAACAUAUGCACUGUAUGGAAUUAGCAACUAUUCACACAGUGAGGCGACAUCUCAUAUGUGAUCACAGAAAAAUAGUUUAAAAGUUAAACAUUGUUUGCUGGCAGAAGCCUGAUAUAGCUGUCAUUUGAGAGACUCCAACAUAUAAUAAGGACACAUGCUCCAAUGUCAUAGCAGCCUUUUUUAUAAUAGCCAGAAACUGAAAAGAACCCAGAUGUCCUCCAGUUGAGGAAUGGAUACAGAAAAUGUGAUAUAUUUACACAAUGGAACUCAGCUAUUAAAAACAAUGACUUUAUCAAAAUUGUAGGCAAAUUGAUGGAAUUAGAAAAUUUUAUCCUGAGUGAGUAACCCAGUUACAAAAGAAUGCACAUGGUAUGUACUCACUGAUAAGUGGAUAUUAGUCCAAAAGCUCUGGAAUACCCAAGAAACAAUUCAUAGACCACAUGAAUGUCAAGAAGAAGACCAAAGGGUGAAUGCUUCAGUCCUUCUUAGAAGGGGAAACAAAAUACUCAAGGGAGGAAAUGCGUAGACAAAGUGUAGAGAAGAGUUUGAAGGAAAGGCCAUCCAGAAACUGCCCAACCUGGGGAUCCAUCCCGUAUACAGUCAUCAAACCCAGACAGUAUUGUAGAAGCCAAGAUGUGCAUUUUGACAGUAGCCUGAUACAGUUGUCACCUGAGAGUCUCUGCCAGAUCCUAACAAAUACAGAGGAGGAUGCUCGCAGCCAGCCAUUGUACUGAGAACAGGGUCUCCAAUGGAGAAGUUAGAGAAAGGACUGAAGAAACUGAAGGGUUUUGCAACCCCAUAAGAAGAACAACAAUAUCAACCAACCAGACCCCCAGGGCUCCCAGGGACUAAACCACCAACCAAAGAGUAUACAUGGAGCAACCCAUGGCUCCAACUACAUAAAUAGCAGAGAAUGGCCUUGUCAGGCAUCAAUGGGAGAAGAGGCCCUUGGUCCUGUGAAAGCUCUUUUCCCAAAUGUAGGGGAAUGCCAGGACAGGGAGAAAGGAGGGAGUGGGUUGUUGGGUGGGAGAGCACCCUCAUAUAAGCAGGAAGAGGAAGGAUGGGAUAGAGAGUCACUGGAGGGGAAAUCAGGAAAGGGGAUAACAUUUGAAAUGUAAAUAAAGAAAAUAUCCAAUUAAAAAAAGUUCUCUUAGGAAAACAUGCCAUUAAAUUUUAUUUGUGUCUCUUUUUUAUACUAGCAAUUUAUUUCCCCACUGAAACAAGUCACAUGGGAAAGGUUUAUUUAACACCCACUUUGUAAUAGCAGCACUUUUAGAAUUGUAAACAUCUAGGAGAUCCUUACCAGAUCCUCUCAGAGACUGGACAAGAAAUGAAUCUGAAAAAUGUAGUUUCUACAAGUCAAUAUAAGCAUAGAUAGCAAAAUGAAUCCAAAGAAAGAACCAUCUAGUAUAUUCUAUAUAUCCAAUGAAGUAUAAAUGUUUUUUUGGCAACUGUCAGCAAUAAAAUCCUGAAGAUAAUACACUUGAAACCAAGAAUUUGUAAUGACUACACAUUACAGAAGAUAGUUCUUCUUGUGAGCACUGGGACCAUUUAGCUUAUAGAAAACAACCAAAAGACGGGACAAAAAUUGCAUUGCACACAUGUAUCAAAUUCUCAAAGAAUAAAUAAUUUUCAUGAAAAAUACUCAAAUGAAUUUCAAAGCAAACAAUGAAAGCCCUGGUACCUAUAAAUUUCAAGCCAGAGACUAGGAAAUUACCUGACGAUCUCGGGUAUCAAGAAUGAUCUUUGCAGUUGUAAAGCUCAGUGUUGAUGUUCAUGGAUGCAGCAUUAAUUCGUUCGUUAGACUUUCAGUUGCACGUGCCAGUCCAUCAAAUCAAAAUUUUGUCCAGUGCUUUUAUAUAUCUACACCACACAUAGCAACAUCUCAGGCAAAGAAAAUUUACUCCAGAAGUACAUAAUGUAUGUGUAUGACAUUUAGUGACAAUGAUCAUUUUUAUCAAUUUCUAUUUUGUUUUAAUAAGUUUCCUGAGGACAAUAAAUAGAAUUUGACAACUGCUUUAAUUAAGAAUGUAAAGGACCUUAUAAAUAUAGGUAAUAUUUGGGGAAAUUAUUGAACAAGUUAAUUACUUGGCAGGCUUUCACACCGACCAUGCUGGCAUUCGAGUGGCAAACUUAAUGAAUACUCCCUCUUCCAGACAAAUGUGCCUCACAAAAUGAUGAAGUCUUUGAGUAGAGGAUUGUAGAUGCAGUCACUGGGAAAAGGAACAAUACAUUGAGCAGAGCCAAGUAGAGGAAACAAAGGAGGUACUGAUGCACAGAAUUGUGAAGCUCUUUCUAGGCUGACACAGGCACAUAUGAGUGACAGCAGAUCUAAACCCUAUUGUCGCAUUCUCAUUGUAAAGAGACAUAAACUCUAGUCUAAGAUACAGAGGAAAUGGAAGUUACCAUUCCAGUUACACAGAGAAACCUCACGUUUCUCCCUUAGAAUUUGCUUUUAAGAAUUCUAACAUGUGCCUUGACUUUGAGUCAUUAAUCCUUGGGAUCAUUUUUAUACGUAUAGGCUCUUGCUUCUGUUUCUGAAGUCUAUAGCUACUGAUUUUUGAAUUAACUUGGAACAGCGCACAGUACUAAAGAUGUUCUUCAUUCAGAGAAUAAAUGUUCUAUGGCGUCUUGUCUACAGUUAGGCUCUGUAUGAUUUCAAAGUGUCUUCUUAUUUAGAGAUUAUAAUACAACUACAACAUUUCUUCCUUCUAGUUCUUCCCUUGAAACUCCCAUGAACAUGCCCCUUUGCUCCCGCAAAUUCAUGGCCUUUUUUUUUCACUAAUUGUUAUUGUAUUCAUAUAUGUAUAUGCAUCAGUGUAUGAAUUCCUAACCAGAAUCUGCUCAGUCUAUAUGGUUUUAGAACUGACCAUUUAGUAAUUUUCUUAUUUUUUCAAUAACAUGUUCCUAAAACAAUGAGCAUGAAAACCCAUUUCUUCUUAAAAAAUAUUUAAAAACCACUGGAAGAUUAUGUCUGUGAAAUUAUUUUCUAGUAAUAUUUAAUGCAUUUUGACGACGUGCCACUAUCAUUGGUUCUAGUAAGACAACUUAAAUUGUAUUAAUUUAAAUUCAUCUUAUAUUUUAGUAAAUACUUUUCCUAAAGAUUGAUUUUUUAACAGUUCCAUUUUGUUUUAUAUUUUAGCAAAAUGAUGCAAUCUCCAACUUCAGUUAGAGAGUUGUAUAUUUUAGCUUUCUGUAGUUUUGAUAUAAAAAUAAUUAAGAUGAGUUAUCCUGAAAAUUUUUGAUAGUAUCAUAACUACCCACAAUUCCUUCAGAUUCAACUCACCUAAACAUGUGUCCUGUUUCUUUUUAUCCUGUGACGAUCAAUUUGUACUUGCAGAGUAUUCUGGAAUGUGUAAUCUUCCACUGUGGUAUGCCACACUUACCAGAGGUACACUCAGAUAAAAUUGGCUCUCAUUCUCCCAGCAACUAACAAUUGCCAGUUACACCAUGACUUGGGGUGAGAUUCAGACCCAGCUACUAUCUCCAUGCUGGGAUUUGGUCAGACUUGGGCUUGCCCACAUUGGCUCAUGCUGUCUCAAGCUCUGUGAAUUUAUCCUUGCAGCUAGCUGCCCAGGAGUAUUCAGAAAACACUUUCCUUGUAGUCAUUCAUCACCUCUGCCUCUUAAAUUCUGUCAGCACCUCCUCCAAUCAUCCCUGAGCCCAGAGAAGGUGAUAGGGAGGUGCGAUAUAUAUGUUUCCUCCAGGGCUGAGGAAUCUCCUAAGUUCUGUCCUUACUCAGUUUUGGCUAUCUGUGUUCAUCACCAUCUCUUCCAAAUAAAGCUUUUCAGUUGCUAGUUGAGACAUGCAUUGACUUGUGAGUAUAACAUAAGUCAUUAGGACUCAAGAGUCAAAUAAACAAUAAUUUCAUAUAUUACAAGAUAGUUGAGUGACGUGUCUUUUAAGUGAAUUUAUAAUUAAUAUAACUGAAAGAAAUUAGAAUCAAGAUUAUUUUAUAAAUUAGGUUUUCUAUUCAUUUAUAAAUAUGAGUGAAUUACUCUGCUUAUUUACUAUUUAUUUACUAUAUAAAAUGUAGCUUUUUACACACACACACACACACACACACACACACACACACACACACACACACACAAGGCAAGUUUGUUUGCAGGUGCCUGAAAUACAGUUAUCUUGUAGCAAGGAUGGGAGAAUUUCUAGAUUAAAGCCAGGUGGAGCUUUAAGAAUGAGACCACUCAAAGAAACUAAUUGAAAUAUAAAUAAAUGAGUGAAUGAGUGAAUGAAUAUGCCUCCAGUCACUGUAGAUUUUCUUGUACAAGUUUAAUAUGUUGAAUAAUAGUAAAGAAAGUAAAUGCACAACAUAGCCUGCUGGUUGAGGAGUAGUGCAAACUAGACUGAUCGUGCUGUGCUGCCCGAAUUUUUGUUCCCCACGGCUGCACAUGUGACAUCAGGCACGUGUGACUCAACACCUGAAGCAACUGUCCUCAUCCAGACAAAGAACUGCUUUAACAGUACCGCACAAUUUCUACCAAAGUUUAAGUCUGUAGAGAUAAAUUAGUGGCGUGUGACUUUAAGUUGGUCUUUCCUUUCCUUCUACGUAUUAAAUUACCAUUUUGUGGUUAUAGUGUCCUUGGUGUCUGUCACGGACAUAGAUAUCUUUCUGUAAUAUGAAAUAAUAUCCCUUGAUGUUUAAAUGGUGAGGCGACACCCAUGAAGAGUUAAUUUACUUGAAAUCACUUAAUUAUAUUUUUAAACAUCAAAUUGUAAAGAAAACUUUAUUCCUUAAAUAUCCAGCUUACUCACUAGGUUUGUAAAUGGCCCUUGGUGACUGAAAAUCUGAUUAAAGUCAUUCAAGUGGACAGGUUUUAUUAUUUUUUAUUUACUGUAAAGCACCGUUUUUAUAUAGAGUCAUUGCUAACGGUCAUGGGUAGGCUUAAUCCUCCCCAAAAAUCAUUCUUUUGCCAAUCGUGUCUUUAAAGUCCUGAGAUAUUCAGUCAAGAUAAUUGAAAAUAAUUUUAGUAUGCAAAAUUUCCUUUUUUAUUCAGAAGUCCUCAUCCAUGUUGGUCAAGUCAUUAGUUUAAUUCACUUACAAGAUUAAUAUUAAUAAUCAUUUUUCAUUUAUUUAUGGUACUCCUUUCCAUGAUCUGUGUAACACAUGCUAGAUAUUAUUUUAAUUAAAUGUUGCUAAAAGUUUUGCCAAAGUCUUUCUAUUCUGGAAGAAAUGGGGCUUAGGUGGUCACAUAGCUUACUUUCUGUGUGCCAGUGCCCAGAAGGGACAUGAUUUCUGCACAGUCUUCUUAACCUGCAUUCUCACAGCUCACACUAGCAAUCACUUUCUGUCUCUUACCAUCUUCUGUGGAAUACAAACCACUAGAACAUUCAUGAUUGCAAGCUUUGUAAUAUAGAUGGAUUGUUCUGUCUUAUAAUUUUUAUUAUAAACCAUUUGUGGUGGCCUUGAACACUUGUGAUCUUAGAGUGAAAUCUAUUUCAGGGAAGGAGACCCGGUGAGUAAUGCUUUAGGCUUGACUUUCCUACAUGUUAAAUCAAAUAAUGUCCUUAUUAUUUGUCAAUGUCACUUUUAGAACCGUGUGCAUAGGUGUGUAUGUAUGUGUGUCUGUGUGUGACACUUAAGUAGUGACAUGAUGAAAAUGAUAUGAAAUCCAAAGAAUACCAUUUUAAUUAUCUUCUGAGUGUAGUAUUUUCCUACUCAUGAAAGAUCAUUCCCCCAAGUGUGCAUUUUCUUAUUUAUUUUUCCCUCUGAGACUGCAAAUAUUAGGAAAAAAAAACCUUUUUGUCUCAAUUUUUACUCAUUACAUAACUUCUGUGAAUUUUGUCAGUGAAAUAUAUUGUCUUUAGUUCUUAAAUUAACAUCUGUUUUUAGAAGUAACAAAACGUCCAAGGCAGAGUAAAGUAAUUAUUGCAACAGAGUACACUUAAAAUUUCCUGAUCUUAGGAUCAAUGUUCCUCAGUAAAAGCUUCAUUUCCUUUGUUCCGGAAUAAUUCCACCUCAUAUACUAACCAAAGCAUGCAAAUUGGAAAUGAAAUUUCUUUUUUACUAAUUUUCUUAGAAUUGAUUGCUUGUUUGACUGGGCUGACCUUUCUUUAAAUCUGAAUUGAUUGACCAAUUGAGUCAAUGUGGUUAAAUUGGUUGUGCAUGUACACAGAGACUUUGUUUAUUCAGUUUAAGAUAUUCUGAGUAACAAUUUCCCUCUGCUUCUGUUCUGCUCCAAGAAACAGUCCACUUUAUGAUUCAUUUAAUAAUGUGUCAGAAAAUAAAUGGCAAUGGAGCAGGACACUGGGGACAGUCGCAGGGGAUCCUGUGGUUGUUUAACAUCCCGAGAAAUAAUUUUUACAAAUCAUUUCAGAUUCUUAUGUAGCGGGGAUGUCAAACUUGUGUAUUAUAUUAAAGAUGCUAUCUAUACUUUGGCUUCUAUGAAGUUAAGUUAUCAGAAAACUGGAGUCAUCACCAAUGUGAUUACCAUCUAUUAUAACUGUACAAUUUCCAGCACUUUGAAAAAAAUUGGAGUGCACCACGGGACAAUCAGAUAUAUUUGAAUGGCUUAAGGAUAUUGCUUUCUAUUUCUCAUGUUUACAAGUCAAAUUUUCAUUGUACUGGGUAACAUUGUGUAGAACCCCCCCCCAAAUCACAUAAAAGAACCAAUAUAGAUUAUAAUAUCUUGGUACCAGAUUUUUCUAAGAAUAAGAGUUUUCUCAUUCACUUAAAAUAUCUAAUUUCCUUUACUUUGUCCUACUUUUUAUCUUUUGGACAUCAGAAAUAAGCCCUGUAACUCUGAAAUUCAUAAUCAGAAGGAUAGGAGUGUCAGACCCUAAGAUUUCUAGAGGAACCUGCCUUUCAGUCCUGUGUUACAACUGUAGUUCCAUUGAAGAUCAGUAAAAAAAAUUUCUACAAAACCCAUCCUCUUCCAUACUCAAUCCUCAUAUUGUUUUCAGAAACAUUUUUUCAUGCCACAGGGCUGUGCAAAAUAUAAUUUUGUGUUUCUAUGUAUAUAUCCCACAAAGCCUGAUUAGUGUACGUGUGUGUGUGUGUGUGUGUGUGUGUGUGUGUGUGUGUGCACGCAUGCGCACAUGCAUGCUCUUUGAUUGCUGUAAAAUAGAACUUUGCGAUCUUUAAACAAAGUUUUAGAAAGAAAAUGUUUUGCUUAGGCUGUUCUGACAAUGUUGAUGAGAUGAGUAGGUUUUAUUGUUGUAACAGGAAAGGAGACUUCAACAACGUUUUAUAGAUAGUGUGCUAAACACAGUGCAUCCAGAGAUGAAGUGAAGGUCUGCAGACCUCCUUUGGGUGAGGUGUGGUCUUUUCACAAAAUAUCCAUAAAUUCGAAGAGUGGAUUCUAUUGGGGUGUAGCGAGGUGGUGAACUGUAAGUGAUGGGACUGAGGAGCACCAUGGUUUUUAUGCUUCGCUCUCAUGAGAGACAGGCGUCCUUGGCCAUUUUUACAUGUAGCUACUGUCUCCUUUCAAGCCCCUCUCUCAUCUGAACUCACUCUCACAGAAUCCUUGCUGGAGGAGAUUGCUAUGCUGUCUGUGCUUUCAGCUGUACUUUAAACUUUGACUUCAAUCCUCCUUUAUCGUUCAGUCUUGGAUAUUUUGUCAGAGCAACACUGAAGGGACUGGUAGAUUACAUGUGUGUGCAUGUGUGUGUGUAAUGUACUUGACUAAUCAAUUCUUAAUGGCUGUCUGAGAAAGUCUAAAAGGAAUACAUUUUCAAAUGGAAAGGCAUAAUCAGUCUUUACUCAAUUCUGUCAAAUGUCCAGAGGUUUCUAGGCACAUAUUUUUAUUCAAUUGUUAAUUCACCCCCAUUCAUGUCUAACUUUAUACACAAGCAUUUGGAAAUAUGUAGUACUCACUUCUCAUCAAGGAAAUUUUUCCUUGCAAUGGACAGAAACCAGUAGAGAAAACCAUUGAAAAUUUAGAGUUGUAGAGUCCACUGUCAAUGGAUGCAACUGUAAAACACUCUUCAGCGAAGAGUCAGGGGACAUUUUAGAAGAGUAGGCUUAAAGAUUGUAUGAGCUAGAGAAUUAGGAGUUAGUUUCCUGUGAGACUGUCUCUCCUAGGAAUUUCUGAAGUUUCACCCUUAAAGUCUUACAACAUGACUGCUUAACUAAGAAUUGAACAAGCACAAUAAGAGGAGACAGACCUAAGAGGACAGGGGAAGGCCCAUGAGGCCUCAGCAAAGACUAUAGGCAACUAAGGAGCAUGUACAGUGUAAGAAAUAGCCUUCCCCACUGAAAAGCACACUGAUUUGUCAUCCAAAACCAAAUGUUGAGCCCUGAAAGCAUACUUACUUACAAGUGAUGGUAUACAAACUGGGCAGCUUAUAUUUAGGAAUAUUUAUGUGUAUACAUAUAACAAUGGAAAAUAUGCCAUGAAUUUGAAAUUUUGCAAGGAGUGUUUGAAGGAACAGAAGAAACAGGGAAGAUAAUGUAAUUAUAAUCUAGAAAGGAAGGAAGGAAGGAAGGAAGGAAGGAAAGAAGGAAGGAAGGAAAGAAGGAUUAAGUGCAAAAACAAGCAUACAAACAAAGAUACGCCUUCCAGAUCAUUCUCUUUUGAAGGAACAUAAAUAUUUGGUGUUUUGUUUCAAAAUUUCCUAAGAUAUCAAUGAGAUUGUAAAUCUUUCUCUUUUUAUUUUUAAAUGAUUCAUUUAUUUGUGUGUAUGUGUAAAUGCCUAUGUAUAUGUAAGUGUACCAAGUUCAUACCUCGUGUACCAUAAGCCAGAAAAAGGCAUAAUUUCUUCUGAAACUGAAGGUCCAGGCAGCUGUGAGCCACCAUGUGUAUGCUAGGAACUGAAAUCUUGGUCGUCUGCCACUGCGGCAAGUGUCCUUAAUGCUGACCUGUUUCCUCCAACCUGAGAUAUCAAGUCUUUCUGAUAAGUUACUACACUAUACCUUUUCUUUCAUAUCUCAAUCAAUAUUGACCUGAGAACACAUUUAGGGAAUAUGUCCUUAAAGUUAUUCAGAAAAUCUUUAUCAAAAACUGUAGUUUGAUGAGGUAUUACUGUAUCUAACCCAGCACCUGCUGUGUCUGCAAGCACAUAGAAAUAGAAAUAGCUAUCAUUUGAGGUUAUCAUUUGCAUUCCACAUUUGAGGUUAGAACUUUGCCAUAUUUGACAUAAUCACACAGAUAUACAUUUCAUUCCUUCGUAAACUUGCAUCAUGUCAUUUCAUAGCGUCUCUCCCCUAAUCUAUUGUGAACACAGUUUGUUCUCAUUAAUUGAUUACUUUGGUUUGGGCAAGUCAAGUUGACUUUGGUUCUCUACAUGGCAAUUAGAGAUGCUUAAUUAGAAUUUAAUUUGGGUGAUACAAGGCGUGCUUGCCAGCACCACAUUGGUGCUUUAGGCAGUAACUGGGACCUCCUUGGGAAUUCUGUCUAUAUCUUUUUAUUUAUGGGAGGUGUUAUUUAUGGGAGGUGACACAAGAACACCAGAAGUUUCACAUAUUCUUGGGCUUUUUCUUCCAUAUUGGCAAUAAAUAUGAGUGUGGCAGCCUCGGUUCAGUGUGCUUAGCUGAGUUACUGAAACAUCCAGGAGAGCAAUUCUUCGGUUAGGAGGAGUAAGCACCACCCUAAUAGCAGUGCUUAGUGGUAAGGCUGUCUGAGAGCCAGAAAAGAGAUUUUAAAUUAAACGGACUUUACUGAAAAUUGUCUUCACUUUGCAGUCCAGAGUCAGGGUUGCAAUUUUCAACUUUCUUUCCUUUCACUUACCUGUUGCUAAGAGAUCACAGUUCAGGUAAAAUUUAUGUUUCUUCAAUUAUUGGGCAUAGAGUCAGCAUGAGAGAGAAAGUGUGAAGUGUAGCAUGUAGGUAAGGACUUAAAAAUGUAAGUGGCGUAAGAGAAAGUGGAAAUAUGAACAUUUAGUGAAUGAUUAUUAAAUAUGUCAGAAUAAACUAAGUAUUCUUGAGUCUUCCACUGUGACUAUAGAAAUUAGAGCUUUUGGUUUUGUUUCUCUUCUUUUAGCUUUUUUACUUAAGAAUCAGAAAAAAAAUGUUUGAUUGAGAUAGAAUUGGCAGACAUUAUUAUUUCUAGUUGAUUUACAAUAAUAGCAAUCAUUUACCAGUCCUUUGAAGUCUAUUUGUUACAUGAAAUUUUAUUACAUGUUAGGAAAUUUUAAGCAUGGUUAAAAAUUGCAUUUUCUCAAAAACAAACAUAAAAUGGGAAGGUUCACGCUUGGACCUUUUAAGUCUGGUCUAGUUAGAGCUAUACUUUUCCUUAAGAAAAUUUUAAGACCACAGUCAAAGGUGAAUAUUCCUAUUCUAAUCAGGAGGUUACCAUUGACCAGCAUAUAUAUCCCUCAGCAGACAUACUACUCACUGAAUGGCUGAUGUCAAGUUCCACUAAGAAUUCACUUGAGAUGUGUGGUACUGACAGUCCAAAACAUUCUCCUCCUCCUCCUCCUCCUCCUCUCCCUCCUCCUCCUCCUCCUCUUCCUUCUCCUCCUCCUCCUCUUCCCCUUCUUCCCCUUCCCCUUCUUCCCCUCCUUCUCCUUCCCCUUCUUCCCCUCCUUCUCCUUCCCCUUCUUCCCCUCCUUCUCCUUCCCCUUCCCUUUCCUCCCCUUCCCCUUCUUCCCCUUCUUCCCUUUCCUCCCCUUCCCCUUCUUCCCCUUCUUCCCCUUCUUCCCCUUCCCCUUCUUCCCCUUCUUCCCCUUCUUCCCCUUCCCCUUCUUCCCCUUCCCCUUCUUCCCCUUCCCCUUCUUCCCCUUCCCCUUCUUCCCCUUCUUCCCCUUUUUCCCCUUUUUCCCCUUCUUCCCCUUCCUUCUUCCCCUUCUUCCCCUUUUUCCCCUUUUUCCCCUUCUUCCCCUUCUACCCCUUCUUCCCCUUCUUCUGCUUCUUCCCCUUCUUCCCUUUCCUCCUCCUCCUCUUCCUCCUCCUCCUCCUCCUCCUCCUCCUCUUCCUCCUCCUCUUCUUCUUCUUCUUCUUCUUCUUCUUCUUCUUCUUCUUCUUCUUCUUCUUCUUCUUCUUCUUCUUCUUCUUCUUCUUCUUCUUCUUCUUUUUUCUCCUUCUCCUCCAAUUGAAGCAGCACAUGAAAAUGAAUAAAAGAAGAAUCCCUCUGUGAAAUGAACGGUCUAGGAACAGAGCAUGAAUGUGUUCUACUUUUGGUAUUUCUUUUAUAUUGAAAUGCCAUUGAUACAUAGGAUAAAUGCUUUCUGUGACCAUUUUUGUUAUUUCAAAAAAUAUUGAAUGUUUUCUAUUUAACUACUAAGAGUCAUUCAGAACAAAAAACAAACACCUAGCCUUAUCAUCAUCUUUGUGCUCUUGUUUAAUAAAAGAGUAUAAUAAAAGUGAGGUUUCAAGUAGAAAACUAGGUUUCAUGAAUAUCCAUUGUCACUUGCCAGAGUCAUAUUCUAAUUUGCAGCAAAGUCUGAGACACCUGUGAGCCUGUUCUGUUGUUUUGGAACAUCAUGAUGAUGGUUUCUUCAAGGUACUUUGACAUGAAAUUUGAUGUUAAAUAGGGCUUAACAUGUUCUAGUUAGGCCAGUAAUGCAAUACUUAAUUGCCCACAUACUCUUUGCCAUAUUUUUGAUUUUUGCUAUCAAAUAUAUGUCAUAUGGGUUCAACAACAAUAACAACAACAACAACAACAACAAAUAAAGUAAGGUGAUAACUGUGGCUGAGGAUAUAGCAUGGUAGUUCAAUGGUAGAACUCAUUCAUGAUGUGUGCGGCAAGGCCCUGGGAUGAGUGAUGACCAGGAGAGAGAGAGAGAGAGAGAGAGAGAGAGAGAGAGAGAGAGAGAGAGAGAGAGAGAGAGGAGAGAGAGCCACAGAGGCAGAGAGAUAGAGGCAGAGAUGGAGACAGACAGAAUGAGAUUUCAACCAUUAAUGUGGUUUUUCUCUUUAUUCUAUUAAUUUUAUACACAUUACAGUAGAAGAUAUAUAAAAGCAUUGUUAUAUACUUAAAAUCUUGAUUAUAUAAUCCCUAGGUAUCUUUGAUGAAUAUAUCAAGCAGCUAUAAAAAGGAGAACAAACAUGAAAGUGGAAGAUCUAAGAUUUGUGCCAAGUAUGUUUUCUCACAUAUGCAAAAGAGACUUAGUAGAGGUCUGUUCCCAAAGUAUACUCCAAUUCAGACAUAGCUGAAAAAUCAUUAAAGUAAAAAUAGCUGAAGACAUUUCUACCCAGAAUCCUGAGAAUUUAGACCAUAGUCUUGUAUACCAAUUUUACUCCUUUACUCAACUCCAGAAUUUUGAUGUACAACAAAAUAUAGGAGAUUCGGUUGCACUAAUUGCUAAGGUCAGUUUCAGCUCAAAAUGGCUGGUGCUCAGAGUCUAAAUAAUAGAAUUAACAGUCUUCCUGAAAUUCAGAAGUCUUCACAUGUUUUGGCUGUUUUCUGAUGUUUACCAGACUUGCAGACUUGGAAAGCAACAGGUAGAGUUUUAGAUUUCAAAAACAUAUUCUUUGAAAUUAAUAUAUAAUUACAUCAUUUCCUCCUUUUCUUUCCUACUGCUACCCUUUCUCAUGUACCCUCUUACUCCCAACUUCAUUAAAUCUUCACAGACACACACACACAUUAGAAAUUUUCCUCUAGAUCAAAAAUAAUGACAAUGAAAGAUCAUUUUAUUGCUAAACAUGAAUUACAUACAAACAAAACAAUAAAUAAAUUAAUGAGUAUGUGAAACAAAAAUUCCUCCCCUUCUAAAAUAAAGAAUAUAUUGAGUUUCAAGAUUGUGUGUGUGUGUGUAUAUGUGUGUCUGUGUGUAGACCUGGGUCUGUGUGUGUGUGUGUAUGUGUGCGUUUGUAUACCAGAGAAUAUAUUCCUAAAUAUAAAAUCAUUGCAUGAUCAGUGCAUAUGAAGUUACUUGUAUGUAUAUGACUUCAGGGUUGAUCAAGUGCUUUUAGAUAAACACUUAUUUUCUUUAAAAAAAAUGAUUGUAUUCUUUUUGUUGCCUAGAGACUCUGCAUUGAUUGCAUUACUUAGGAGAUUGUCAGUAAAUAUUACCUGGAGGAGUAGGCUAAGAAAACUCUUAACCAGGUCACUGAAGAAAAUCUUAACAAGGCACUAGGAAAGAAUAUGAACACAAAAACUGAGUAAGAAGCAGAGUGUACACAAGACUUUUAUAUUGAUGUAUUAGUUCAUUCUUUAUGAAUUUAGAACUUUUUUUAAAACAAAUAAUUCAACAGGCAAACAAAAUUCUCUGGGGAAUCUUGGAAAAUUCCCCUUGAUCAAACAGAAUAUUGACAGCUAACAAGUUCAUUUCAUUGUUAAAGAUGGAUCACAUACACACAAUAAAUAAAUAAGUCAAAGAGUGUACGUGACAGAAAUACCUGCAUUCUUAGAGAAAGAAUAUUUUAAAUUUCACAAUUGCACUAAUAUCAAAAGUUCUUCUCCCUUUACUUACUAUCCCCUCUCUAAGUCAUGACGAGAAACAGAAGAUGUCUCUGCAUUCCUAUGAUCCCAGAGUCAGGACAGUGACCCAGAGUUGUGAGUUAAAGAUCAGCAUGGGAUAUUUUUUUAAAAAUAACAUUUGUUUUAUUUCUACAAUAUUUAUCAAGCCAUUGUCAGAACAUACACAUUUUUAAAUCUUAAUUGACUUAAUAAAACUGAGAGUUUUAUUAUUGAUCCAUUCUUCAGUCAGCAUGGGAUAUUUACAGCAUGAUCCCUUCUACAAAAAGUGCAUAGUUUUACAAUGGUGUUUAUUAUAUGUACCUUGUCUAAGACAGUUUAUAAUUUAAUCUAGUCCACAUUCACUAAUGCAUAGAGAAAAUAAAGAAAAAGAAAAAUCACAAAUGUGAUAUUACAGGAAAACAAGAUUUUUUUUUAUUGGAUACUGUUUUAUUUACAUUUUAAAUGUUAUCCCCUUUCCUGGUUUCCAGUCCAUAAACUCUCUAUUCCAUUCUUCUCCCCCUUCUUCUAUAAGAGUGUUCCCCCACCCAACCACCUACCCUUUCCCACCUCCCUGCCCUGGCAUUCUCUAUACUGGGGGGGGUCCAACUUGGCAGGACCAAAGGCUUCUCUCCCCAUUGGUGCCCAUCAAGGUAAUCCUCUGCUACAUAUGCAAUUGGAGCCACGGGUCUGUCCAUGUGUACUCUUUAAAUGGUGGUUUAGUCCCUGGGAGCUCUGAUUGGUUGGUUGGUGUUGUUGUUCUUAUGGGGUUGCAAACCCUGUCAAAUCCUUCAAUCCUUUCUCUAACUCCUCCAAUGGGGACCGUAUUAUCAGUUCAAUGGAUGGCUGCGAGCAUUCCCCUCCAUGUUUGUCAUGCUCUGGCAGAGCCUCUCAGGAAACAGCUAUAUCAGACUCCUGUCAGCAUGCACUUCUUAGCAACAGCAAUAUUGUCUGGGUUUGGUGAUGGUAUGUAUAUGGGUUGGAUUCCCAGGUGGGGCAGGUCCUGAAUGGCCAUUCUUUCAGUCUCUGCUCCAAACUUUGUCUCCAUAUCUCCUCCUAUGAAUAUUUUUGUUACCCCUUCUAAGAAUAACUUAAGCAUCCACACUUUGGUCAUCCUUCUACUUGAGCUUCAUGUGGUCUGUGAAUUGUACCUUGGGUAAUUCGAGCUUUUGGGCUAAUAUCCACUUAUCAGUGAGUUCAUACCAUGUAUAUUCUUUUGUAGUUGGGUUACCUCACUUAGGAUGAUAUUUUCUAGUUCCAUCCAUUUGCCUGUGAAUUUCAUAGUGUCAUUGUUUUUAAUAGCUGAGUAGUAGUCGUCAUCGAUUGUGAAAACAAGAAUUUUAAAAAAUUUUUUUCUUUUUACUUUUGAAAGUAUGGAACUGAUUCUUAUCUUUCUAUUGAUUUAAUUGACUCAUUAAAAAAAUAAGAUAUUGGAGGACAGGAUUUCUAGGCUAGGAACAUAGAACAAUUGUUGCAUAUAUAUGCAUGUAUAUAUGUAUAUAUCUUCUUUAAAAUUUUGUUGUGAACCUGACAUUAUUCUACAAAGAAAAUAUGAAUAUAAAAAGUGAUAAAUAGAAAAAUGAAUAACAUCAAUCCAAUAAUUUAUUGCUUUACACACAUUGCUGCAAAUUGAAGGCAAGAAAAAUGUCCAGGAACUAUAUUUGUCAUGAAAUCGUUCACAUACACAUAUAUGAAUAUAUACACAUAUGUGUGUGAAUAUAUGCAUAUAUGCAUGCUGUAUUUCUAAAAGUAUGUACAUACAUAUAUACAUGUAUAUAUGUAUAUUUAUUGGCAUAUAAACACACACAUAUAUAUAUACUCACAGACAAAUAAAACAUAUCCUAGCACAAAGAAUUCAAUAAUCAGACAUUUUUCUGUCAAAUACAUUAUUUUGCUAUAAAUUUUCAGUCCAAGUUUUACAGUAGUAUUCAGUUCUUCUUAAUAACCCAGAAAGGUCACACCUCAAAGGAAGUUCUGACCAGCUUGAGCAUGUCUUCAUAACCACCAAGAAUUUCCAGGGUACUGGAAUGUCUGCCUAGUCUUUCUUCAUUUGAGUUAUAAGAAGGGAGGUUGUGUCCAGUGAACUCCACCUGACAUUGCUCUUUGUCACUGUUUCCAUAGCUUCUGAAUAUUGCUCCAGGGCUAGAGUAUAAAUAGGAUGAACAGAGCCUCAAGCCGCCUACAUGACUCAUGUAAGCCAUAAUUACACUGGCCAUGUGUCUAUUUCCAGGACCUAUUUAAGGCCUAUAAUUCAGUGUAACAUUUGUUCUAAAAUAUAAUUCUAGACAAUCUCUCAACUACCAGAGCAAUGUUGGAGUGACACAAUGGAUGGUCUCUUUGUUGAAUACUCAUAGCUCCUUACUACAUAUAUAUGGACACGCACAUAUUUUCAUUGCUGUCUUGUUCACGCUCAAUACUAAGCUGGUAACAAAUAUAAAUACCUUUAAAUACUGCUAUUUUUCUUUUGGGUGUCUUUAUUUUUAGGAAUAAACAAUGGUUUUUAAAAUGGGAGUUGGUUGCCAUUGGAAAGCACUUUCAUGCCAGUUUAGCAGGCAGAAGCUCUUCCAACUCUCAAAACUGUACUCCGUGAAGAAACUCCUGUCAACCUGACCCACCCUUGUGGACAUGUUUUGCUGACAUAAACAAGUGGAAUGGGUCUCCUUCUGUUCCAAGUUUCUUUGUAAUAAACUAGUUGAAAAUGUAGAAACAGAAGAAGCAUGCAGAACCUUUCAUAUCACAAAAAAAUGUUUAAAUAUCAAAAAUUAUGUGGUAAUGCAUUUUCUUUAAGAUGCUCCCUUCAGACCUGGAAGGACCUAAGGAAAAUGGUCAGUUUUAACUUAAGGGUUUUAGGAUAAAUGGUACCAACAUUUUUAUGAAAUUAUUCCAAAUUUGGUUGAGACCGAAGCCUUUUUAUGAGUGAGACAUGAUAAUCUAUUUACCUGGUUAGUAUCUCAUACUGUUUUGUGGUGGUUAUACUGAUUCUAACUUUCCAACGUUCAGAAAAAGCUAAUUUUAUCACCAUUUUCAAUCCAUGUAACAUUACAUAUUUUUCUAAUAUAAAUAGUAACUUGCAAAUAUAUAAUAUAAAUAACAAAUUUCACAAUUUCAUUUUUAGUUGGCUUUUCUUUAACAUAUAAGGGAUGAACUAAAUUUCUGACAUUUUGCCUUCUUUAGAACUAAAGUGUUGUGUAAAAUCUAUCACAGCCCCAAUAUUUUGAUUACAUUUUAAGGUUAACACAAAGAUAACAGCUUUUGUAUUCACACUGUAUUUGAGUAAUGCAGUCUUGCUAAACAUCAAAAGGGAAAGGAGGUUCAGACCUGAAUGAAACUUCUUUUCCACUGAAGGCUGAAGUAAUACAAAAUCACUUCUAAAAAAGAUGUGAAAUUCCAUGUGUGGUAACGAGUCUUUUAAAUCCACCAUCCGUUUCAACCCUGGAUGUUCUCAAAUGUUGAGGAUUUGAAUGACUAAUGUACUCAUCUCACAGUGCAAUUUUGGAGAGUUAUUUAAUUAAACAGUAUUGCCACAAUUAUUUAAAUGGACAUUUGACAAUGAAUACCUCUCAAACUGGCUGGAUGAUGUUUUUUAGCCCCAUUGAUCUAGCUAAAUCCAAUAGUAAGACUGACUUUUUGUUUAAUAGAAUUCUUUCUAGAAUGUUCCACUCCAUUAGUAAAGAGUUGCUCCAGUUAUCUUCUCAAGGGCGCUAGCUAAUAAAACAGAGACAUUUGUGUCUAGAUGCUGAGUGUUUACAUGUAGGCAGUUGCUCAGGCAACCCUGUUGUAAAUACGUAUGUUGUAUUAAGAAAAUGACCACCAUGUUAAACUCAGACUUGUUUAUUUUAAUCAGAAUUUUUAAUCAAUGAAGCUUAUAGAAAAACAUUCCCUCUAAAAAUGUUGAGUACUUUGCAUCUUUAUAACUACUGUAAGAACAUAAAAUACCAAAAUAAUGUGGAGUUAAAAUUACUUUUCAGAAAAUAGAGCAAGGAUUGUUUUUCUCCUGGACUCUUCAAUUAUAAAUCUGAAUUAUGAAGAUGAGCAAAAUCUGCUAGCAUUUGUAUUUGUCAGUGCAUUGCCUCAAUACAGGAACAUUCAGAAUUAUAUCAGACAUAGUUUAUAGAAGGCUCUUCAAUGGAAAGCAUCUUGCAGUGUUUGGCUGAGAGUGCAGGAAAUACUGCAGCUGUCUCGAGAAGCUUUAUUCUACCCAGGCAAGAACACCAGGCCCCUUCUUGCCCUUAUUUGCUUUGAGAGACUAACCCUGUCAGCUUGAUCAAUGGGCUUUGACAGAGGCAACAGUAAUUCAAAUCUCAUUCACAGGUAGCAUAGUGUUUAAUAGAUUCUUUUUUAACAAUCUCUGGUGGAGGGAAGUGCAUGGCAUUUGUAUUAAUUUACUGUGGAGCUUUUAUUCUCUCCCAAAGCCAAACCCCAUCCUAUCUUUAGGUAUACAUUUUAGUCAUCUGCUCAUGCUUGCCUUGUUUGCGUAUUUAUUUACAAACAACUAAUUUAUUCUUACUCAUAGGAAAGAAAAUUACUUUUCUAUUGAAAGAAUAAGAUGGGGAAGAAAAGGUGAUACAGUGUUUCAUGGGUUCACAUUUUAUGAACUGAAUAAUAUGGUUUUGACAAGAGCAUCCUAUCCUAAUCAUAUUUUGGAGGUGCAGAGGAAAGAUGAUGGUUUGGGUAAAUGCAGGCAAAUUGUAGUUCUAUUCUCUUUGCUCUUGAAUUUGACAAAUCAAUUCAUUACUGAUAAUAAAAAUGGGGUAGGUUUGCAGAGAGAGCUCAAUUCAUUGCAUCUCUCCCACACACCUUAGUUCAUGAAAAGAGUAGUUGCACGAACUUUUGUUAGUACCUGUUCCCAUCAUCAUCUCUGACAUAAACUUUUCACAUUUCAGUCAGAUUCAUUUCCCUUUUGUUCAUUAAAAAGGAUGAAGUUAAAGCAUUUACAAGAGCUUUUUCUGCAAUGUCAAAAAGAUUCCAUAAUUAAUAAUAGAUAGCAGUAAUAGGAUGUUUACUUGUUGGUGUAUUCUGGAGAGUGCUAAUACUUUACUUAGAUGUUAUUACCUUUAGAUUAGCUUACAUAAAUUAGUACUUUUGCUACUAAACCAGUGUCAGACCUAUGACUCAUGUUUACUAUAUUUGUUUUUUCUAAGUUUAGAAAUGUUACACAGUCAAUUUUCUUUGGAAAACAAUAUUAUUGUAAUCAAGCACCCACACAUGGAUAUAUGUUAGCACACAUCUAGGAAAAACUAAAAUAACUAAUAUGAUAACCCAAGGGAAUAGUUAUAGGCAAAUAAAAAUUCCCAAAUCAAUGAAGGGCUUUUCUGAGACUUAUCAUCUUGGACAGAAAUUAUGUGUAAAAUUUGUUAUUAAAAAUGACAACAGAAGACAGUUUAUAAUUGAACAGUAUCCCACUGAGCAUUUUGGGUAUAUAGAGCCGAUGUAGAUAACUAUAGAAGAGUAACUGAUACAAAGAAAACCACACAUUGUUAUAUUUAAUGAACCUGUUCAUUUCACAGAUUCAUAAGAACACACACAUACAUAAUUAUCCUUUAAUAUACAUGGCCAUGAAAUGCAAAAAAUAGAUAAGGUUGAGAGAAUAGGGAGAGAAGGAAGCAGUGCCCUGUAGUGAGGAGUCAGGGCAUACUUCAUGGAAGAUUGUGUCUCAUAUUAAGGAAGAGCAUACAAAUAGAUGGAGUUAAAGAAAGGAGGCAGCCAUACAGCAGUCACCAGCAUGUGGAAGAGCAUGAAGAUCAGAAUCAUGUUUACAGAGUGAUUUUAUCUUAGUUACACAUUCCACAUGACAUUAAGGCAAGACAUCACUGUAAGUAUGUUAGAUGUGGCGGCUCGUGUCCAGUCACCCAUUCAGUUGUGUACUGAGUUCCUUCAGUGGUGGAAUGAAGACAGGGAAUGAAUGCCAACCUAUCAAUUGAUGCAAAGGAAAAAAAUAAAAAAAUGGCUCCUGAAAACCCAUCCAGGAGAGAAUCAUUGUUUAUUUAACUAUGGAAGCAGAGGACAGUAAGUUCUUCAUUUGAUGCUUAAAGACGGUUACAAGAUGAAAAUCUAUGCACUGAAUAAAUCUACUUGAGGGAUUCAGAAAAUUUAAUAGAGAAGCUGACAUUUGGGCUGGAUUCUGAGGCUGUGUAAAUAUUAGAGUAUGUGGACAGAUGGAGGUGAAUAAUAAAGCAAGUGAAAUAAAUAUUUGUAGAUGGUAGUGAAUACACAAGGCCAUGGUUUAUGGCAGCCCGGGAGUGCUGUGCUGGUGAGAUUAGGGUUUGUGCCAUAACACUACACUUCUGAAAAGGUUUUAGUAGAGAGAUAUCCUUCAACUUAAAGAGACCAUGUCUUAACUUUAGCACCAGUUCUCUGACAUUGACUUAUAGAAUACACGCAGAUAAAAAGGUUUUAACCUAGUUAGCACACUGAUAUAUAUUCUCAUAUAUUAAAUAGCAGAGACUUUUAAAGUUGUCAGACAUUUGGAAUUUAAGGGCCUGGGAAAGCUUCUCAGUUGCUGAGCACUUGUUUGGCAAGCAUGAUAUCCUGAUUGAAAUCCCUAGAAGAUUAAAAAACACAACAAAAUAGAAGAAUUUAUUGAAUACAUUACUGAUUCACAUAAUUGAUCAUGGUUGGCUAUUUUCUUAUAAAUGUUGACUUUAAUCAGAAAAGAACAAUUGAAUGGAAACUGGCCUCUUGAUAGUCAUGUGCAUAUAAGUAGUCAGAUAAUGAUGUAUUUUAAAAAGCUUGUAGCUGUUUGUUCAUAAGACCACUGUCCAUGUUAAUACAAAAGAAAUGCAUAUGUCACACAAAAUGCAAUGGUAACAUCUACGAAUUCUGCUAUACCUCAUCCAUAUCAAGACUAAAUGCUAAUCAAUGAUACAUAAUAAUUAUCUGUAGGAAUAUCUUACUGCACAACCUAUAGCAAAUAGAACCUUAUUUCCCUUUUGUGCAUAUAGUAAUACUUCAACAUGUCUACUAAUUUUGGUAUAUUAUUAUCCAUGCAUAAUGCCUCACAUUAUGAAUCUCUCAAGGAUCUCUUCCUUCUAACCAAAGUUCCUACCCACAUAUUCUGAAAGCACAUUUAGCUAUAUACAAGUACCUUCACAUUUACCUUUUACCUGAGGUUCCCUUGGCUACUUUGUUUUCUGCAUUUUUGUUUGAUUAUGCCACUUAAUUGCUCUAAAUUAGUUGCAUUCUGUAACCAUAACUGCAGGGCCAGACUGAACCGUAUCAGCACUCUAACCUCAAAUCACUCAAAUAUCUCUUUGUUUAUGUCUUCAUGUGUUUAUGUGUUCUGUCUUUCACCAUGUACACACACUACAUUUCAAAGUAAGAAUGGUGCAUAUAUAUGUAUAUAUAAUAUAUAUAUACACCAUAUGUAACACUAAACAGACUCACCGGGUCAUAUUUAUAUACAUGUGUAAAAACAUACACACACUCACACACACACAUACUAUACUCACACACAGACAUACUACACACACACCACCACCACCUCCACCACCACCACCAACAACAACAAGAAAAAGAAGUGCCAUAAGUUUGAGAGAGAGCUGUAUAGUUUAGAAGGAAGUACAGGUUGGUGAAAAUGGUGUGGUUAUAUUUUAAUUAAAGUUAAAAACGGUGAGCACAAGUCACUUGUCCACUUAGCUUGUGACUAUUACAGCCCAAGCCAGCAGUAAUUCAACUGAACUAAUGAAAAUACAUCAGUCUCACACAGUGACAGUAUCACUUAAAAAUAAAUGGAAUGAUGUCGAGUAAAAAUUACACUGGAUGUAACUUGAAAGAAAAACUUGUAGCUUUUUAUUCUCUCUAUACUAUGAAAAUGAUGAGAUUUUUCUGUGUGGUUAAAAAUGUAAGUGACCUAGUACUGCCCCUGUACAUUUAAAAUUCAUGUCCACUGAUAUAUUGCUCACCAUUUGUGCUGGAGAAAUUAAUAGGAAUAACAAGUCAAUGGUACUGGCCUUUCAUCUCCUCCUACUCCCAUAUAUAAUCAGGCACAUCCUUCUCAUCUGCGGGGUGCUUAUUAAGACUACUGAGAAAAACUUAGAAAGGAAGCCUGAACUAGAGAGAGUGCAUGACCCUCUGAACACCACUCUCAGAGACAAACGCAGAUAAAUGAUGGUUUCUGUGUGUUACAUACAUCCCUUUGUAACAAUUUACUGCCUUCAAAAUAGCUGUUUGGCUAUUCUUGUUUGAUUGUUUUGAUUUAUUCGGCUCCAUUUUAUAUUCAUGAAUACGACCUUUACAUUUGCCUGAAAGUGCUCCUUUUUUGUGGAAUGAUACUCUUUAUAAAGGUGCCACAGUGCCGCUUAUAUAUUGGCCAUGCAACAUGGCAGAAACAGCCAGAGAUUAAGAGUAAAUAAGAAGGAAGAGUAAUCGAGGCCCAAGAGCUGGCUGUACUGAUCACACUCAACAUAAACCUACAGCAAUGAGGAAUCCUUAGCUCUUUGUAGCCUUACUUCAUACAUCUGUAAUAUAUUCCAAUGAAAAUGUGUAGCACUCAGAAGAAUCUGAUUCUUUAUGUCUGGGAUAUGUAUCUUUUAAAAUAACUGCAGAUAUCAGGGUUAUUGCAUCUUAUUAGAGGAAACAUCUGCAACUAUAUUGAAUUUAGCAAGGAAGUUGAUUUGUCAACACAUAUUUCUACCUGGAAUUUCCUUUAUUCCCUGCUUUUUCCUCCUUCUCUUCUUCCUUCUUUCUCUUCAUUAUUUGAAGGCAGCUCUGCUUAUUGCCAUUAAUGCACUGGACCUUGUUAUUUUGCAACACCCUCACAAAAUUACUUCAUUAACUAUUUCUUUAGUUUACCUCCAUGAAUUCCACAGGCAGAGUUUAAACAUCUUUAAAUCCAAAGCAAUGUGAAAUACUCCAGCAAGCUCUGGUAGCCUUUAUGGAGACACAAGGCCAGGUCUUGGGACAAUGUGAGCUAUCUCGUAGGACUAUCUGUAUGGCUACAGUGUCCUUUAGGUGAAGUGAUAUGCACAUGUUUGCGUUGUCACCAUUUGUGAGGGUUUAACUGUGUGGCACACUAAUCAGCAAGUUCAUAUUACAAACUCCCUUAGAACAUAUCAUAUUGCACUGGCUAAUCCUACAGACAGGCUAUUACAUGAUAACCCUCUCUGGUAGCUUUAUUUACAAACAUGAUUUUUUUUACUCAUACUUUAUUCAGUUUUUCUUUGUGACCUAUGAGUAUGAAAAGAAAACUACCUUAAAAUUUUAUUUUUUUCAUCCCAAAGUCUCUUAAAGGAAAAUCUUAAUAAAUAGAAAGUUCUUUCAUCUAACUUUCUGGAAAUAUAAAAAAGCCAUUAAUACAAAGACUUGUACUGCCUAAAACUGAUUGCUUGUACUGAAGCUUUUUAUUCCAGCCCCACAACUAAAUCAGUGUUUGUGCCCCUGUACUCACAAAGUCUUUAUAAAUUUUUUCAAACAAACUGGCAAUGAGUUUUAUUAUUUUCUCAAAUUCUAUAUAUGCCAACAGUAACAGUUUACAAUAUUGUUUUUUAAAAUAUUUUUGUGGGUAGUUUUGUGGGUAGAAUUCAUUUUAUGAAAAUCUAAAAGAGACCAGGAGAGUUGGUUUGCAAGACUAUUAUGAAGGGAAAUAUCUCCAUAAAUCACCACAGAAAGUUGUUAAAGUGACAAGAGUCUUCAUAUACUUAGUUGAAGCAGCUCUAAUUCAUGACAGAUAAGUGUGUUACAUACUUGGAAUUAGAGUUGCCUAAAUCUUCAUGAAGUUUUCUAUUUAAUGAUGAAACAUUAUAAGACUUCCUACAAAACAUAAAAGUAGUAAAGAGUUUUGAGAUUGUUAGUGCAAAGAGGAAAAUAAUUAGUGCUUAUAGAUGCAAUUGCAUCUACACGCACCCCCAAAUUUGUUAUGAUAAGUAUAGAGAAGUCCAGUGAUGAAAACGCAAUUCUCUUCAAAACAUUUAUGUCAGAAGUUUAGAAUGAGAUGCACAGACUAUAGUUGUCAAAUGAUAGAAAAUCAAAUACAGUUAAUUUCAAAUAUUAAAUGGAAAAAAUAAAAUUAUUUAUCUUCUGUAAUAUAGUAUCCUGUAAUAUCUCUCCAUAAGUGUUUUUUUUUGUAAAAGUGGGUGGAAAGAAUUAUGGAAUGGUAGAAACCUGUAUCACGAGACAGGCUUUAGCUUGUGUUUCUUGUUCUAUGCUUUCUAUGGUAGAAUUGAGUUCAAGGAUAGUGAAGGUAAUGGAAAGGAAGACUUUAUGGACACUGCUUGUAGAAACUAAUAUGUGAUUGUGAAACUUAAAAUGCAGAUGAUCCCAACUAACUUAUAGGUUACGAUCUAGAAAAUAAAAGAGAGUUGUUAAAGUUCUUUUGAAGGAAGACAUAACAGUAGCUGUUUAGGCUCAGCCUGCACUGAUGGUUGCCAGGUUAAAGGUGGUAUAAUUGCUUUUGGAGGAUAAGAUCUGAGUUAUACAAAUGAAAAAAUUCUCAUAUCAAUGGAUUAAAAUAUAUUUCAUCUCAAAAAUGGUGUGGUGCAGUGAUAGGAUACUGUGCAAUACUUGAUAGCAAUGGAAUAAGUCCAGGUAUAGAGACUGCAAGAAAGUAAUGUAACAUCCCUGGCCUUGGAAGUAGAGCAGGAGAGGACCAAGGCAAGAGGCUGGUGUGGAAGCUGUAGAAGUUCCCACACUAGAGACACUGUUAGCUUGUUUUUCCAGAUCCAAUUUACACAAAGCCAAGGACCAUUCAUUUUUAUUUUAAAACAAUCAAACAUUUUAGAUGCAUUUUAUAGAUUGCCAGUCAAUCCAACUUUUAUUUGGCAGUUUGAGUGUCAAAAAUUUGGCAAGGUAAAUCACAAAUAGAGAACUGGUAAAAGGAGGAAUGUUGUAUACCAGAUGUCAAAAGUUGCUUAAAAGACAGAGUGGUUAAGAGUUUGGUAUCAUUAUUAUGUUUGAGCAAUAAACAAAGAAUAGCAAGCUACAAAAUAGAUCCACAUAUGUGUGGAUAAUUAAUUUUCACAGCUUCGUUAGAAUUCAGUAGGAAAUAGACUGUUGACUGUAGCCAAUAAAUAUUCUGAGAUAAUUGGGGGUGGUGGGAAUAGAAUUAUACCUUACAGACUGAACAAAAUAGAUUCCAGGUAAGUUAAAGAUUGAAUAUUCAAGGUUAGAAUAAGAAACCAGUUGGCGAACAUUCUGACCUCAGAGUGAACCACUUCUAUCACUCCUGAAAAACAUCAAGACAAACAAUGAAAAUGACUUAAUAAAUUGACUUUGUUGACAUUAGAGCCAUCAGUAGCCUAGGAUGCUCCAUAAGUUUAAUGAGGGGAAAAAGCAAAAGAGUAUGAAAAUUACUGGGAUAUGUUGACCAACUUUAAUUAAUAAAAUGUAGAGCUCAGCAUGAAGAGAUAUCCAAAUGAUGAGUGAACACAUGAAAAGAUGCUCACUGUCACGGCUAAUUAGGAAAUUGGUGAUUAGUGCACCACUUAAGCGCUAUUUUUCAGCCCCGAUAUUCUAACACAGAGUAACGUACAGAAAUAUUGAAUUCAUAUAGAACUGGAAAUUUUAAUAUACUGUGGAUGAGUAACAUAGUUCUGUAGAAUCAACAGUUUAGAAAGAAACUUUACUAAACCAUUUGAGUUCAAGAUGGUCACAGCUUAUCAUGUAUUAGGUUUCCACAGACAGACCCUCUGCAGCUCUCAACUGAAAAAGUACUGUGAUAAACCCAAGAAUUCUGACAGAAAGUCUGAUGGCACCUGUCAUAUCCUUUAACAUAGCUUAGAUUCAUACAUUUUUUGGGGGGAGGGGUGGGAAUGCUGAGGGAAUCUUUUCAGGAAAAGACUGUUGGUUAAGUCCUUUGUCAUAUUAUGUCAUAUUAUAUUUUAAAAUAAUAAAAAUGAUCUUUAAUCCUGUUUAACAGAAUUUCUAAUAAAUUCAAACAUAUAUUUGUUCUUCAAAAAAAAUCCAUACUUUUUUUAUAACCUACGAUUACAUUGCACUUAAGCAAAAGUGAGUUUGGUACACAGUGGAAGAAAAUGUUAAUUUUUAAAGGCAUAAAAACUGAUUGCAAAUUGAAUAUUGUGAAAGUAACACCCAAUAGUAAAAGUAAAUACACCAAAGGAAAUACAAGCUGGAGUCUUGCUUUACAUGCUCUCUGUUCUUUAUCACCUAAGCCUUCCCUAAAAUAGUAAGACCAAUUAACCAGUUUUCUUCCACUACUAAAUCUUUCAGAUAACUUCUCAAAUAUCUUAAAAUUGGACCAAAAUAUUAAAAUGUACUCAGGUAUAUACCCUAUUUGUAUUGGUAGUGUAUGAGUUGAAGAAUGAUGAUGUUGCUUGGUUUGCUAUUUCCUCAUCACACAUCUGUAGACCGCCUUCACUUUGUUUAAAAAGUUUUAUCUAGCUAGGACACUAAUUCCUUGGUUAAAGCUAUUCAUCUGUGGGGCAGUGGACUGUGAAAAGUGGCCUGGUCCCUGGUUGAGCUAAGGACAGAAGCCCCAGAGACCCUGAAGGGAUGGUAGGAGCUCUGCCUAUUCCCGGGCACCAGGCCUUUGCCACUAUUCACAGUCCCCACAGACUUGUGGCCAUUGGUCAUGUAAGGGCACUACCCCAAGCCCCUCAACAUGUAGGCUCAAGACAAAGAUCACCGUUCUAACAAGGUACCUAAAGACAUGGAGGACUGAGCCAAUAAGUUUUUCUUCCCAGGCACUCCUCCCUGAAAAAGGUAUUUAAUCUCAGGCCCACCCUGAGAAGAGGGAUGUGGUUUUAUAUAUCUACUUUCCACCAUGACAAUAAAUGUCUUGAGGAUGGCUUUGUCAGGCAUCAACUGGAGGAGAGGCCGUUGGUCCUAUCAAGGUUUGAUGCCCUAGUGUAGGGGAAUUUUACAGUGAGAAGGUGGGAGGCAGUCGGUGAGUAGGUAAGGGAGCACCCUCAUAGAAGCAGGGGGUGGUUGGUGUUUCUAGAGGGGAAACCAGGAAAUGGGAUAACAUUUAAUAUGUAAAUAAAUGCAAUUAAAGAAUGAGAAAAGGAAAAAAAAGUCUUAAAACCAUUGAUUGUCACUUUUCUUUGGGAUCUGCUAUGGGGAACUAUGGAGAAGGCCUUUGCCUGUAGAGCCAUCAUCUAGUCUCCCAUAGAAGGCUGCUCUGUGCUCCCAGCAGGACUGCCACCAAGCUUAAGAUACUGCCCAUCAAGCCAAAGACUCUCCCGAUGAACCAGCUGGCUCCCCCCAUCCCCCGAUCCUCCCUGCCCAUCUCUUUUAUGACUUCCAGUGGUGCCUCGGUGUCGAAGAGCCAUGGAAGUCCAUGGCCACAGCUUCUCCACAGGCCCAGGGACUCCCAAGCCAGCUCUGGCUGACCUGCCCCUCAGUCUGCACUUUCCCACCACAGAGUAGUGUCCUGGGGCUUCCCUACAGCCCAGCACUCACACAGCGAAGGCAUGGGGAAGCAGUCAAACACCCCGAAUGGUGCCUCCCCAAGCAGUGGCCAUGCCCUGUGCAGGAGCAGAUGCAAGCCCCACAACACUGUUGUCAUAACAUUUUAUUUCAUAAACAUCAGAAUUUGUUGGCUAUCGAAGGAAAUAUGAUUUUUUUACUUGUGAUGUAAAGGACCUAUAAUAAUCCACCAGUAAGUUAACAAUGUUAUUAAGAGGUAUACAAUCAGUUGAUGUGUUAAGAGAUUUAUUAAAGGACAUCAUUUCACGAAUGGAUAGUUAUUGAUAAUUAAAACAAGAUUAUUCCCUAGUAAAAGUAAAAUGCUCACAAUGUACUUAUUUUUGUCUUUAAAAAAACACCUAUAGCUACCUAAAUUCAUUCACUGAAGUGGAGAAAGCUUCAAUAUGAAAUGAACACUAAACUUGUCAUGUGUUUCAGAAAUGGCACCACAACAGUAUUCAUGCAGAAUCUGCAGUAUUGUUGAGUAAAGAAGAAAAACCUUAAAAGGAAUGUCCAGUACUAAAUAAUCCAUGCUGUAGUUUCCAGAGAGAAGUGCUUUCCAAUCCUCUUCUAAGAUACUUUUUCAGUAGUAGCUUUUAAGUAUGUAGGAGUUCUGAUCAAAGAAAGUACACAGAAUAUAAUAUCCUAUAUAUUUACUCCCCAAAUUGUCAAUACUUUAUUUCUUAGUUUCUACACCAAACAUGAAUAACCAUAUAUUUUGCACAUUCUGAUUAUUACAGUUAAUCAUUACAUCUCACAAAUAAAAUCAUAAUGAACAUGGAUAAUUAUAUAUUAUUUUAUUUUAUAAUAUAGCUAUUCAAUUUCUUUUGCUUGUAGGUUGGCCAAGCAUCCCAAUGGCACAGAAUGACUUGUAUUUCACAUUUCUGUCUCUUUAAAUAUUACAUAAUUAUUAUUUUAGGUUUCUUUAUGUGGUUUUUGGCCAAAAUAGCUGAGAUUAUGUGAUGUUAUCUAAAGAACAUUAUCAAGGUUCAUUUUUUUCCAUUACCUAACUUAUUUUAAAAAAGAGAGUCAGAACAAUGUAAUACCCUUGUAAGUAAUCCCUUUAAUAGAAAACAACCCUGGUUAAAGACAAAGACAAAAAAGGUUUUGUCUUUGUCUUCUUACUUCAAGUUUAAAACUAAUUUGUAGAAGGUAGAAAAUAGAUAACUUGUUACAUAAAACAUUAGAAACGGGUCUUGACAGUUCUAAAACUCAGACAGGAAACCAAAAUAUAGUCACACAAAAGCUUUUCAGUAAAACUAAGUGGCACACUAUAAAAUUGGGGUCUGAUCACCAUAAAAAUAUUGUGGUGAGAAGGACACAUCAAUGCAUAAACAGAAUACUGUAGGUUGUGCUUAUGUUCCCCCAUCAAAUUAAAAAGAUUUUAUUUUGAAUUAUAUGAAUAUGAUCUAAUAUUUUCACUGUAAUUCAGAAACUUACUAAUAUUUUAAAAUCAAGGAAGCUGAUUUAAAAAGUGCUGAAGUCUACUGGAAAACGAUGAAACUGGAAGUGAUUACAUUAAAGUGUUAGCUCAGAGUCAGGCAAAUACUUCAUUUGUUCUCUCAUAUCAGAUUGUAGCUGUAUGUGAGUGAGGGGAAAUACAGAAUGCAAUUAGCAUGGGGACCAUUUUUAGAAGGAAAAAGAGGUCUUAAGGGGGAAAAGUUAGGAGGGCAACAUGGGAUAUAAAAGUAGAAUGGAUUAUAUCCUGGGUAUUCUAUACAUUUUUGGAUAAUUUCCACUUAUUAGUGAAUACAUACUAUGCAUGUCAUUUUGGAUCUGAGUUACCUCACACAGGAUGAUAUUUUCUAGUUUCAUCCAUUUGCCUGCAAAUCUCAUGAUGUCCUUGCUCUUUUUUUUUCUUUCAUAAUUUACAUCAUCGUUUCAACCAAUGAUCAAUAAUACAAUUGGAAAACUCAAAACCAAACAUUCUCUGAAAAGUAGAAAAAGUGCCCCUGGGCCUGGUGGUGGGAGAUGAGAAUCACUGCUGGACAAAGCAGCCUGGGCAGAAUGGAAUUUCCCUCCUGUCUAACACCGACCAAGGAGACUUUAUAUUUUUUCACUAGGUCCUUUUUAGGAUUAGAGACAGAUGCUAAAAGAUUUAUUUUGUUAGCCUGUUGGACCCAGAUAUUAGGACAAAUGUUAUAAAAAUUAGAAAAAUUAAAGAUAUAAGUAGGUCCUAGUUGCUGGACCUAAGUUAAAAAGGUCCUUAAAACCAGAGAACCGGUUAGGACAAGAAUUUUUGUAUAAACUGAAAGCCACUGUCACCGUCUUUGGGGAUUAGACUCAGUCAGAUUUAAAGAUAUCCAGAAAAAAAUGUUGUGUCUUACCCUCUGUGAAAAGACUAUCUUCUUGCUGAAAAUACUGCUCCAAUCAAUGGACACCAUUGGGCUAUCUCUCAGAGUGACAGCAAAGACUUUUUGGGGGUACAGGCAGAAACCCAGGACUGGCCCUGGAUUUCUAUAAGUUCCUAUAAUUAAGUUCCUAUAAUUGUUCAACUAACCAGUUCAGCUACCCCUGGCCAAAUUAAACAAUACCCAAUGACCCUAGAAACAAAAAAAAGAAAUUGCAGUCCAUCUGCCUGGCUUGAAGACACAGGCAUCCUAGUGCCCUUCCUGUCACCCAGCAAAACGCCUCUGCUGCUUAUGAAGAAACCUGGGACCUCUGAUUCUCAGGAGUCUACCUCCUCCAGAGAAGCAGGUGUACACUGUCUUGGAACUGAAAGAUGCUUACUUCAGUCUGCCAUUGAUGUCCUUGUUCUUAAUAGGUGAAUAGUAUUUCAUUGUGUAAACAAACCACAUUUUCUGUAUCCAUUCUUUUAUGGUGGGACAUCUGGGUUGUUUCCAGCUUCUGGCUAUCACACACAUGGCCUCUGUGAACAUAGUGGAAGACAUGCCCAUGAAGCAUGGUGAGGCAUCUUCUGGGUACGUGCCCAGGAGUGAUAUAGCUGGGUCUUCAGGCAGAUCUGUUUCCAAUUUUCUGAGGAACCUCCAGAUUAAUUUCCAGAGUGGUUGUAGCAGUUUGCAAUCCCACUGGCAAUGGAGGAGUGUUCCUCUUUCUUCAUAUUCUUGCCAACAUCUGCUGUCACCUGAGUUUUUGGCCUUAGCCAUUCUGAUUGGCGUAAGGUGGAAUCUCAGGAUUGUUUUCAUUAGCACUUCACUGAUAAGUAAUGACUUUUAACAUUUCUUUUAGUAUUUCUCAGAUGUUGGAGAUUCCUAUGUUGUAAAUUCUCUAAGUCAAUAACCCAUCUUUUAAUUGGGUUGUUUUGAUUUUUUUUGGAGAUUAGCUUCUUGAGUUCUUUAUAUACUUUGUUUAUUAAUCCACUAUCCGAUGUUGGGUUAGUGAAGAUUUUUUUUCCAUCUGUAGGUUGCCAGUUUGUCCUAUUGACUAUGUCCUUUGCAUUACAGAAGCUUUUCAGUUUCAUGAGGUCUCAUUUAUCAAUUCUUGAUCUUAGAGCCUGAGGAAAGAUAAAAUCCACACAACUCAAGAAGGUUAACAAGUCAAAGGGCCCAAGUGAGGAUGCCUCAGUUCCGCUUGAGAGUGAAAAGAAAGCAAUCAGGGAGCACAGAAGGAGGGAGGGACCUGGGUGGGAAGGAGAAAGGAACAUAAUAAGCUACUGUCUGUGGGUGGAGGAAGGCUCUGGCAUGAAGCUCUGAGAACCAACAGAAAGACUGGAAACAGGCAACCUUGGGAGUUAGAAGGUGGGGAAGGGGAAUUCUAGAAUGUACCAGAGACCUGGGAGUUGACAGACACUCAGAGUAAGGGACUUUAGAUGAAAUGCCCAACAGUGGGGAGAGGGGACUUGUAGGACUAGUAGAAAAACAGGGCAAUAAGUAGAGGGAUGGGGUUGCCAUCCCACAGUCAAAAACUCUGACCCCAGAAUUGUGCCUGUCUAAAAGAACUGCUGGGAGUCCCCAGUUUCUGUUCUCUGGUUGAAUUAGAGAAAGGCUGGAAGAAGCUGAGGAGGAAGAGGGCAACCACAUAGGAAGACCAGCAGUCACAACUAACCUGGACCCCGAAGAUCUUUCAGACACUGAGCCACCAACCAGGCAGCAUACAGCAGCUGAUAUGCAGUUCCUGACACAGUUCCUGAUAUACAGCAGAGGACUGCCUGGUUGGGCCUCAGUGACUUGAGGCCCCAGGGAGUGGGGAGGUCUGGUGGGAUAGAGGGACAUCGUCUUGGAAACAGGGAGUAGGAGGGAUGGGAUGAGGAGCUGUCAGGGUGUGGAGCAGGAGAGGGAUAACGACUGUGCGGUGUGAAAAAAGGGGGGAUUAAAGAAAGAUGAUAAUAAUAAAUUUUAAAAAUGAAAAAAAGUAGAGUAAAGGCAGUGGGGUGGGAUAAAGGAACAACAGCAUAGGUUACUAUCCAAGAGUGUGUUGGAAGAAUAUCAGCAGAAGCAAAGUGGGUAUGAUACUGCGUAGUGAAACUCAAAUCUUUGUAUCCUAAGUUUAAAAGAUUAACUUUUUCCCCACCAUUAUCCCAAAGGUGGCUGAACAAAGUUUCAGCUAAAAAAAGAGCUUUUGAAAAGGAAGAUAUUUAUAAUUAUGAGUCUAUCAGAAUUUGAUUUUACUCACUUUUCAAUAAUAGGUUUAAUUAGGAUGUAUGGUUGACAUUAGAAACUGCUUUAUUCCAUCCUUUUCCAUAAGAUGAUAUGAACAAUUAAUUAUUAUACAUUUCAGCAUUUUUGAAAGUCAUGCUCUUUUUAGUCUUUAUUAAAUGCCACUUGAAUUAUAUUGUUUGUAGGUUCAUGUCCUUUAACCACACUAGUUGGGUAGAACAUCAGGUAGUUUUUGUUUUGUUUUCUUUGUUGGUUGGUUGGUUUGGGAUUUUUUUUUUUUUGCUAUCCUUUUAAAAAGUGAAAAGCCUAACUGCACUUUUGUUUUUGCCAGCCAUAUUUUAAAAGAUUACAUUCUCAAUCUUGACAUUCAAAGGAGAUAUCCCUUGAUGCUGCAAAUGUUCUAGCAGGAUUAAGGGAAGAGAACUUAGUGUCUCUAAGAGCUCUUCACCCUAUCUACAAUAUGCUUAAUUCUCAGUGGUGGGCUGGAAAAAAGCAUAGCGUGCAACCCUCUGACUUCAUCAGAGGAGUCAGUUGUGUCAGUGUUACAAUGUUAAAUUUACUAAGUGGUAGAGAGAAUUAUUGCUGCAAUGUACUGCUUUCUCAAUGUUGCAAUAACUGUAAUCAAAUUUCAAUCAUCACAAUCGUUUUUCCUUAAAAAUUUUGAAAUGAAAAUUAAGUAACUAUAAAUACGAAAUGUUAUUACCACGUGCUCUCUUGAACUCAGUUAAGUCACCACAUGAAAACACCCCACACAAUAACCUCUGAUCCAAUUGGUAAGAUAUAAUUUGCCCAUCUGGACAACAAAUAUUCUGUACACACCCAUUCCUUAAAAAUAGUCAUAACAACCUGUAACUAUACACAGAGAAGAACCUUAACAUCCGUCGCCAUGUUCUCUCAGCUUUUUCUCAUUCUGGCCUCCUCUCUCCUCUUCUCCCUCCCUUAUAAACCUCUGCUCCUGUCUCCCUUCCUUCUUGUCCAAGGACAGGCCAUGUUUUGUCUUGUCUGCCUUCACCUGCAUAAUGACAUCAACCUACAAUGGAACUCCAUAAUAAUUUCCUAAAUGGCGUACCUUCUCAAUCAGUGUUUUUCUACAUAUUACAUUUAUCAUAUUCAAAAACGCUUAUUGUCCAGGAAUCAUGUGUAUAGAUUUGAUAUCUUCUUUCAAAGGUUAUAAUAAAUAUUAUUAACCUUUCUGACUAUGUAGUUGAAAUAUUGACCCCUAAGGAGAAAGACUACAGAUUACAUAUCGUGUCCACAAUGACUAUAAAAACAGAUUGCAGGUAAAUAUUUCAAGAUGGGAAAGUAUGUGAUAGCUUCUUUGAUAUGUACAGUGAUGCGAUUCCACUGUACUAAUAGACUUGAAUGUGAAAUGAUUUAAGAGUAUGGCUAUUAAGCUUUCCCAUUGAGAAUUUAAAACUCAAGAGUGGGGUGUUUGCAUCAGCUUGCCUGACUGAACAAUUGAUUAACAAGUGUUAAUCUUAACUUAGCAAUUUAUAAAAGAGAGGAUCAAACAAAAAAAAGGACUGUGACACCCUGCGCAUGUGGACAUUUCUCUUUGUUAUCUUUUCCUCUGCAUGCAGAAAAGCCAAGCUUUGGUCUAUAAAUGACCGUGACUAACCGGCAGACGACAUAUUUCGCGCCUAACAGGAAGAUGAUCUUAGAAGAAUACCAGGAAGUAGCGAACAAAGUUGAAAAAGAAAAAAAUAAAGGAUUUUGCCAGCUAGUGAAGCAUUUGAAUCUGUUAAUCAACUUCACUCUGAGCUUUCCUUUGUUUGCAAAUGUAGACACUCCAUGCUUAGCCUUGUAGGGGCUUGUUAUUUGAGACAGAAAAACUUGGGUCAAUUGAAUUUCUGCUUUAUAUAAACUGUAUUCUCUGUGCUAUUUUCUUUCUCCAUUUUUCUUUUAAUGCCAGACUUGUGUGAAAUGCAAACAUGGAAUGUUGCUUUCAUUUAUUUUAAGUUGAAAAGGAAAGCUUAAAAUUUCGUUGAAAGUCUAAUUCUGACAUACAUUAUUUCUAAAGACUUCUUAGGUAUUACUUGCUCGUAUCCUUAAGAAGGUGUGAUGUCCCAGUGUAGGGAAAUGCCAGGGUAGGGAGACAGGAGUGAGUGGAUGGUGGGGGAGCACCCUCAUAGGACCAGGGGUAGGAAGGAUAGUUUAAGGGGUUUCUAGAAGGGAAACCAGGAAAGGGGUAACAUUUGAAAUGUAAAUAAAUAUAAUAUCUAAUAAAAUAUUUUAAAAAGAAGUCUAUUUUUGUAGCUGGGAUGUGUCUAUGUGUUUCAUAAUGAAUACCCAUCACCUUGUAUCACACACACACACACACACACACACACACACACACACACACACACACACACACACACAGUAGGGGGAGAAAGAGAGAGAGAUUUACUAUAUGGAUACCAUUGUUCCUGAUAACAUUAUUUGGGUUUGGGAAGAUAUGUAUAUUAUGUGAUGUAUGCAGAGUAACCAGUAUAGAGACAAAAAUUGGUAUCUGUGGAAGCCUUGUAUUUCCUUUGCCAUCUUUAGAUGCACUUAUAUUUAUUCAGGCACAUAAAUAUAUAUACUGUUGGGUAUCUCUCCUAAAACAGGACAUUACAGUAACAUUUCAGAAGAUCAGAAGACCAAAUGGGUGCAACUGAAAGCCACAGAAUAAUACAUAUUUGAUCAAGAUUUACUUGUACACUAAGAGAUGAUUGGCAGGAACAAGCAAUAUUAAGCACUCAGCUCUGCUCAGAGGAACUACACUGAAUACAGAGCCAAGAAUACCAUCUGUUGAAUAUGAAAUUCUUGGAUCAAGACAUUAUAGAUACAUUUCCCCAAACAGCAGGGACAGAAGUCUUUCUGGAAACAAAAUCACAACAGGGUUGCAGAAACACCCAGUGAGAGAGAGGCAAAUAACUGUUCUCUGCAUGGCGGGGAGCAGACUCACUCACUGCCAGUGCCGUGUGAUUAAUUACCAGGCACGGUUCACGAUGGUGGGAGUAAAUAAAUGUGUGUUAGGCAGUCACUCUGCUCAAGUAAUUCUAAAUCAGUGUAUCAACUAUGAGCCAUAGUGGUAUCAAAAUCUUUCCACCUGCUGUGAUAUCUGCAGAAUUUUUCACCCUCAGAAUGCACAAUACUGCCUGCCACACAUUGUACUUUUUAAAGAUAGCAGAAUGAUGUCUUGUGUGAUAUUCACUGGGAAGACACAAUCAAAACUGUGGGGGAAUGAUUGAUGGGUUCUUAUCCCCAAGGUUUAACUCAAAUGCAAUUAUAUACUUUCAUAUUUGUAUUGUUUGUUCUUACAACAACUGUAACACAUGUAUGUACAUCGAUAUGAUAAACUGACUUACUUUUCGGGCAGUUGUUUAAUAUCCAAAGAAGGAUGGUUAUUGAUAAGGAAAUAGCCUAUGCAAAUGAAAAGUGGCAGAGAUUGGCAGGUAGGAAGUGACACAGUGGGAGUAAUAAGAAUGGGAGCGUAUAUGUUAAUUAAGAGACUCAGAUUUUCCUAACUGUACCCAUUAGGAAAGCUGGAAACUUCUUUAAAAGGGGAACAAGAAUACCCUUGGGAGGGAAUAGAGAGGCAAAGAUUAAAACAGAGACAGAAGGAACACCCAUUCAGAGCCUGCCCCACAUGUGGCCCAUACAUAUACAGCCACCCAAUUAGACAAGAUGGAUGAAGCAAAGAAGUGCAGGCAGACAGGAGCCUGAUGUAGAUCUCUCCUGAGAGACACAGCCAGAAUACAGCAAAUACAUAGGCGAAUGCCAGCAGCAAACCACUGAACUGAGAACAGGACCCCUGUUGAAGGAAUCAGAGAAAGAACUGGAAGAGCUUGAAGGGGCUCGAGCCCCAAAAGUACAACAAUGUCAAGCAACCAGAGCUUCCAGGGACUAAGCCACUACCUAAAGACUAUACAUGGACUGACCCUGGACUCUGACCUCAUAGGUAGCAAUGAAUAUCCUAGUAAGAUCAUCAGUGCAAGCGGAAGCCCUGGGUCCUGCUAAGACUGAACGUGAUUGUUGGGGGGAGGGCGGCAAUGGGGGGAGGAUGGGGAGGGGAACACCCAUAAAGAAGGGGAGGGGGAGCGAUUAGGGGGAUGUUGGCCCGUAAACCAGGAAAGGGAAUAACACUCGAAAUGUAAAUAAGAAAUACUCAAGUUAAAAAAAAUAAAAAAAUUUUAAAAAAAAUUAAAAAAAAAGGAAGGCUGGAAACCACUAUAAAGGAGAUGGAAAUGUUGAGUUCAGAAUUCAUCUUAAUUGUCCCCUUUUCUGCCAUUCAAACUAAUUGUAUGAAAACAUUUUAUCUUUGCUUUGAAAGUUGUGAUCCAGUCCCUGAACUUGGACAGUAGGAAGCAGUUAGUCAUUAUUAAUACAAAAUAGAUAACCAUUAAUUGGUUAAUGGAAGGAAUGGAUGGUUCUGUGGCAAAGGGGUGCUUCUUAGCAUUUUACAUGUAUUAACUCACUGUUCCUACAGUGACAAGAGUCACAUAGCAAAUUGAUUUGAAGCCAGCUUUCUUUCUCCGGAUUCUGUAUUCUCAUCACCCUUAUUACCUAGUGAAGGAGCUAGGAUGUUUUGCAACAUAUGCUUUGGAGUCUGUGCAUGCCUAUUGUGGGGGUUAGUUUUCACAUGCAUUAGACAGUGCAUUAGCUGAGGACACUGUGUUUUUCUGGGUUAUUCACAGAAACAUAACCAUAAAAUGGAUCAGUCUCGGAAGACACAAAGGAGUUUGCCAGUUCAGGGUAACAUUUGCCAGCAAAAUCUAAGCAGUGUGCACAGCACACAGUAGCUUGGAUGAACUCAGUUUUAUGAAUCAAUUCCAAACGUUAAGGUCCUUCUUCUUAACUGUCCCCCAUCUUUUCUUUAAGUCUCAUGCAUGACAUAGAUUCACUUUUCAUUGUAUUCUUGCUUGCCUUCUUCCAGUUUCCUGAAUUCUUGAAAUCAUAAGACACGGUUUAAUAGAUUUUAUAAAUUAAACUACAUCUGAUAAAAAAAAUACAUGUCAAGGGUAUCAGUGAUAAUUAUCAAAAUUAACAAUGGAAAGAACAUCUUCCGAAUGAUUUGACUUGAAACAUUAUUGCUGACUCCUUAAAAAUGAAUACUUGAUGUUAAGAUAUGAAAGAGUGCCACUUCUCUUUGAUAAUUUUUGUGCUAAUGCCUGUCAUCCUUUCAACUUCCUGAAAGUAUUCAAAAAUAACUAAUCCUAAUUCUUUUCUCUUACCUAGUAAGUAUAAUAAAACCUUUCAGUACUUUAAAUGUUUUUAAUAAUAAGGUAAUUCGGAGUUUUGCACUAGCAUUUGUUUUGAAGGUAUUAAAAGAAUAUAGCCUAUUUAAGAGCCUAAAAUACCCUACACUUAUCGUUCAUGCCCUCAUCUCCUAAUAUGGUCCCUUUGCACUACAGUUUUGAAGUAUUUCAGACAUGUUAUCUUGUAACUCUGCCCGAGUCAAAAAAAAACAUUUAGAAACACUGCUUGUUUAUUUAAGAUAAGUAAAUUCCUGGUUAUUCAUCACCUCUCUCUCACGUUGGAGAUGUCCACAUGCCAGUGAUAUGAUGUGUUGGCAAAAGUUUGCAAAGUUAUAGAAGGAGAUACAAAGUGGAAAAUGUUUUUAAAUUAUAAAAUGUAAAAAUGUUUUGAUAGAUAAAAUGCAUAAGUGUAUUUUAGGAACAGAAAAAGAACUUGUAAUAAAAACAGUAAGAACAUGCAUGCCUUUUAAAGGCCACCUUGCUAUUUUAACAGUUUAAAGAGUUUUGGCUACUUUACCAAAAUUAUAAAAUCCCAAGGUUUUUUUAUUAUUUUUAUGUUUUACUUUUCUUGGCACUACUUGCAUGUGAAACUAAGCAGGAUUAUAAAUUUUUCUUCCUUCUGACAGGUAUUAUGUCCAAAAUGGCCAAAUCAUAACUGUGUUUUUUAUAUUGUUUGAGUCCCAGCUUAGUACGAUUAAGGCUAAUAUUAGAACAGUGACACAUUUAGAUACGAUUUCUUACUCGAGAAACUUUAAAACCAUUUUAGAAAUGCUCUCUGCAACAAUUUUCAUUUUCCCCCCAUAAUUCUGCUUAAUGAUGCUCCUUGAAUAGUAAUUUCAGCUAAUGGAGUUGUAACAUUAUAUUCAGAGCACCAUCGACUGAGUCUUAGAAUAAGGGACGACAGAGAAAAGGCUAUGUUAAUGAGCUCCGCGGUUUAGCAUUCAUUCACUUCUGUUGAGUAAAGUGAGCCAUUUUCUCCUGAAGACCCCAGAUAACUUAGAGAGAGUUUAGAACUGCUCGUCAAAUGCAAUUUGACCUCAUAAUUACCACUGAAGAUGUGAUUAAGGAGCACCUGACUCAGAUGUCAUGUACAUAUGCACGCCACAAGUCAUCACCCCUUCCUCUCCUUUGAUUUUAGUGGCUGAUUGCCAAGUCAGCAGGCUCUGAGAACUGACUUUCCAUUUAUAGUUUAUUCAGGUCAUUACACUUACACCGUGCGGGGUAAAAGAAGAGGUGGUCUUUUAUGUAUGCAAGGAUCAAAUGCAUGUUCUAUUCUCUGAGACUGUUUUAAAAUGAAAAGAACCUAAUCAUUUCCUACAAGUAACUUGUAAGUUACCUUACAAGUAAAUAUAAAUGCUAUUAAAUACUGGGGAAAAAUAUCAAACAAUAUGAAUAUUUACUGAUACCUUUCCUGAAGAUUUAAAAAUCUCUGUAUGGUUUUUAUCCACCAACUUAUGGAUUUUGUUGAGGAUUUUACUGUUUCAGACACAUUAAACAGUAAAAAUUAAAAUAUGUUUUCAAUUUGUCAAGACACUAUAAUUGUUCCUUAUUUGACUAAGAUAAUCGAGCUUGGCAAAUAUGGAAAACUUAUUAUUUAUGUUGGGUGAUUGCCAUACUAUUUCAUGAUGAUAUAUCAAACUUUUAUGUUCAUUUACUGGUUUGUGGUCUACAUAAUUAAGUCUUAAUAAAAUGAAAAGGGUAGAAUAAAAAUAAAGUUGUUGCAAAGAAACCUUUGUAUCACUGUUAGCUCCCAUUUAUUCUCUCAGGUACUUUUAAAAUCAUAAACUAAACCCCGUUAAACUAUAUUAUAUAAUUACAUAUAAUGUAGAAUUCUUGAUCUACUUACCUAUUUAUAAAAUAAAGCUUUGAUUCAACUCAAGAACUUCAGGAUGCAGAAACACAUGUGAGAUUCAAGAUGAGUCUAAUCAAACACUGGGGCAAAAUGGAUGAUUAAAAUAAAUGAAAACUAGAAGUAUUUAUAAUUGUUGAAUUGUGAAAUUGCAAUCAGGCUCUAUAUGAAGUACAAUGAUUUAAAUUUUGGCAUUUUUUUCACCAAUCUGUCACCUGCUGAAGUAACUAUUCUUUCCCUAAAGGAGUGCACACAUUUUCCUCAUAUUCUUCCUCAUUGCAUAUUCUCAAAAGGGCCUGGAACACUGCUAAUGCUCAACAGCGUUCUCUCUCUAUUUCCUAUGGAUACUAGGAAACAUGUUAUUUCUGUAUUUGUCAACAAUGACAUUAUCCACUUCCAUACAAACAUAAAAGCAAGGGCCAACAUUUUAUACUUUGUUAGCUAUUACGCUGAAAUGUUAAGUGAAAUAUACAUGACCUUGGGAGGAUUAGAGCCAGCAAAAGGGGAAAGUAAGGAAUUUAUGCUGUAGACAAGUGUUCAGGGCCUCCCCUGAGCUUGAUGAUAUCUCUCUUCUUCAACGGAAACUGGCUCCUUUUCUCUGAGAUUAUCUGUUGCACUAGUAUCAAUGCUGACAUCUCCCAGGAUUCUUAACUCGUUAAGGAUUAUGUGAUACUCUGUGAAUAUGAUGAGAUUAAAAGUCUUUCCCCUGGUAAAUUAUAUCAUUACCUCAGAAUCACAUUUUUGCAUACAGAUAUGUGUACAUUUCUAGAAAUACCAGUCCAUGCAGACAACUGUCGUGCAACUUAAAUGCCUCUAAUUAUUUAAAGACUUUUUUGGGUUUUGGGUUUUUUGUUUGUUUCUUUUACGAAAAGGCUGAGUAAAACCACGGUAGACGCUUAACACCUCAGUUCCAUUGGCCUUCUCAUAAAGUUCUGAAGUGCCUGCCCAUUUGUGCUGGUGAACUUUCAAAUAGAUUCUCAUUUAACACUCAUUUUUCUAUCCCUGUGACUAAAUAGAGAUAUGGAAGAGAAAUCUGUAUGUCCAUUUUUUGCCAGAGACUGCUACAAUCUUACUACGCAAUUAUGCCAGGAAAGGUAGCCCAUACUUACAAGUGUAUGUGCCACUGAACAAUUGCUCAAGUGUGUGUGUGUGUGUGUGUGUGUGUGUGUGUGUGUGUGUGUGUGUGUGUGUGCGCGCGCGCGCUUGUGUUUCUCUCUCUCUCUCUCUCUCUCUCUCUCUCUCUCUCUCUCUCUGUUUAUUCUCUGAGGCAAGCUGGCCCAUUUUUCUAUUGUUUGCUCCUGCAUCUAUCCACCAAAGAAUAAUGUGCUGUAGGAAAUCAGAUUUCCAGUGACUUGGAUGUUCUAGUUUUACUUCCCACAUCUCUGUACCUGAUUUUCAAACAGAAUAGGUUGGUCUUUGUCAUAAACCACAAGGAAUUAUUUUGAAUCCUCUAUAAUAAGUGCUUUGUGACAAAUAGAAACUAGCAGGAAGACCCAUUUCCAUUACUUGCAUUUCAUUAGCGUUUUAGGAGAAUCAAUGACAGCGCAGCUUGUUUCUCUCUUGCCCUGCGUGAUAGUCAAAAGACAAAACAUACUUUUUUGCAUCAUUCUUGUUAAAUAAGAUACAGAGUAGACCUUGCUAUGGAAAAUGACUUAUAGGCUUCUUUCUGGUUCUCGGUGCUCAUUAAAAAUAUACCCUCAAAGACCAUCUUGAUGUAGAAAAAGAACUUUAAAUUUCUUUAGCAACUAUAUUCGGUGUCUAGAAGAUUAUUUGGAAGUUAUAGAAAAUAUACUGCAAAUUAGAGUAAAAUCUCUACGUGUAUUAUAUGCUAUAAAUAUAUUAACUUAAACUCAACAAAAAAUUUUUAAAGAGGCUCCACUACAAAUACUUUUACCCUGUGGUCUGUCAUGCUUGUUCCUUCCUAUAUCCAGCCCAGUGUUGCUGUGAACAUAGUAAAGUUACACUCCCUAAAGUUUUAAAAGACAAUAUAAACCAAAACAAAUCAAGUAAUAUCAUAUGUAAGAAAGCAUGUUAUUGAUGAACUAAGCGAAUUGAAGAUAAUAAAGAAACUGGUGUAUAUUUCUUAGGUCAUUCACGUCAGCCUAUGAGUUCAGCUGGUAACUGUUGUCUGAAGGUGAUAGACCGUCUUCCACCUUUGCAGUCCAUCCAGGGUAGACAUGUUUUUAUAAGACGUGCACUGCAAGUUCAUUUUCGUCUCUGUAUUUGGGGACAUAUCUUCAAUUUCCACAUCCUAAAACAGUGAGGAUUCUUAUCUGUUAGCGUCCCAAGCAAUACUUGAAUUAAUGCAUGUGGAAAGAAAUCUGGAAAUUAACAUUAAUAAGGGUGAUAGUUCCACAUUUCAGCAUGAGAGUCACCAAAACCAAAGCAGUGUGCAGACAUGUUGUGGGGAUUUCCAUAGGUAUCUUCAAUAAUCUCUGUAAUAGAAAUAGUCACCAUAUCCUGAUUGGCAUUAAAAUGAGAUGGCUGUCUUUCACCCAGACAUUACAUAAGGACAUGUUAAAACAAAUCAAGGAAAGGCUACAUAACAUGUGUUGCCUGUAAAAAAGACGGAAAAAGUUUCACAAUGGAUUUUGAGUUAAGAUGUGUAUUUUGUUGGUAAAAAUUGUUUUGGUUUAUCCCGGGGAAUCACAGACAGGUCCUACUGAGAUAACAGGAAGCAUUUCUGAUAAACAGAAGCAAAUCAGCAAGGCACACACAUCCAGCCUGGGGACUGGGAGCAGUUUCACAGCAUCUGUUAGAGGCAAAUGGAACUGGGGAGAGCUUUAGCAAAAAUCCUGCCCUUCGUCCAGAUACCACUGAUAAUGAACACAUAACAAAAAAACGGAUGGUUCAGUUGAAGGCUGCUUCUGGAAAACAUUGCCUGCAGCCAAAGAACAUCUCCUUUUUAAUCCUUAAAAGCAUCUAAGUUGAGCCUCGUGAUCCAUUUGACCAAAACCACUCGCUUCAGGGAUGCAUUAUUCGGAAGUUAGUAUCAAAUACCAAUUUGUCGUACAUUUCCUCUGUUAUGCGAAAACACAAGAUCCUUGGGUUUAAAUACUGAUGGCCAAACUGGUAAUUUAAAAAAAGGGUAACAUUAAGGUAACAAAAUAAAUACAGUACAUGUAUUUAUAUUUUCAGAGACAAAAGACCCUGACCUAUAGAGAAGGUAAAAAUAUUAUAGAGCAAACUGAAUUAUAGACCUGUACAAUAGUGCAAGAUUUGUUCAUGGCCACAACUGUGGCUUUAAAUAUCUCUGAUGCUAUUUUCUUUUUUAUUUUAGGCUAUUAACAAAUUGUGUUUAUAGAAAUUAGUCACAGGGUGGAAUUUACACGGAGGGUAAAUUAUAUUUCUUUGGUUUAGUGAGUCCCUGUGUGCCACCUUCACUUUCACCCUGAGUAUAAAACAGGAGAAUGAGUAACAGUAAGAGACCCAAAGGGAUCAAAGGAGUGCAAUGGGUACACCCACUAGGGGGCUAUAUAAUAUUUCUCCUACUACUGAGAGUCCAUUCACUGCCACAGAGCUGGGGGUUUUUUUGUUUGUUUGUUUGUUUGUUUUUUUUGUUUUUUUGUUUUGCAGCUCUUUUAAGGUGUUUGCUUUUUAGAAUACAACUGUUCAAGUUUUAUCUUGCAAAAUGACUUGUGGGAAGGCUUUUCUAUGUAGGUAUUUCUGCCAUGAUGAAAUAAUACAAGUCAUUGGUUAUUGUUUUUAAAAAUAUUUUGGAUAGAUCUUGCCUUAGUCUCUAUUUGCUAUAACACAAUACUGGAAACCUGUUGUAGUAAUGAAGAGAAAGACCUUAGUUCACUAUUCCAAAGACUGGGAAAUCUGAGACUGACUGAUGGAAGCAAAGUCUUGCUCUGUGAUUUCAGAGAGAGAAGAUGAAGAGAGUCUGUCCAGAGAUUGGAUAGAAGGUGUUUUUUCAUUAGGUCAUGAGGCCAGCACCCCCAUGGAGUCCUCACCCCGUAAACAUCUCACUGUUUACUCUUGUCUUGUAGGCUGUGUUUUCAACGCAUGUACCUGGGUGACAAAAGAUUUGCAGUAUUUAUAUGAAGCUCAAACACUAUACCAUCUAAAGGGAAAAGAACCAGGUCCCUGCAGAUGGCUGCACACUAGUGGAUAAAGCUCUGGAAAUGAAAUAAUCAACUGAGGUGCUCCAGAGGGAGAUGAUGUCCUUUGUAAACAACGAAACACACUGAUACAAAAUGCAGAAGGAUCACAUAGCAUAAAAUUCAGAAAUUCUUUUGGUUAAUUCUAAGCUGAUUUGCAUAUCUAAUUACUAUAUCAAUACAUUUUAUUCUGAUAGACUUUAUAACAUGAUUAUUUCAUCCUUGACUAUAUAUAAAUCAUCACACCGUUGCUUGAUUUCUCCAAUAUGAUUCAGCAGGAAUGUCAAAAAUGCUUGAGCAUUUUAUAUUUCCAGGACUGAAAUGGCCUCGCUACAUUUUUACCUAUGCAAAUAGGUAGCAUAAAAGCUAGUAUAUGGAAAAAAUCUCUGUGACCAUAAAUAAUCUUAAUAAAUAUUAAAAUAACCUAUAGAGUAGUUGUUCUUUACCUUCCUAAUGCUGCAACCCAUUAAUUACAAUUCCUCAUGUUGUGAUGAUCCCCAACCAUAGAAUUAUUUUUGUUGCUACUUCAUAACUGUAAUUUUGCUAUUGUUAUAAAUUGUAAGGUAAAUAGGUUUUCCAGUGGUAUUAGCCAACCCUUGUGAAAGAAAGGGUCAUUCACUCCUCAUAAGUGUCAUGACUCACAGGUUGAGGAUCUCUGCCAUAGUGGAUUUUUUCUAAUAAUCUACAUCCUGAUUCAUUUAAAAUAUAUGAAAUUUCUCUGCUGUUAAAAUGAUUGGGAAAUCAGAAGGAAUUAUCUCCGGUCCGUGGAGUUUCUUUAGCUUAGAUGUACAAGAAAGUCUAAUUCUCAAGCUUUAAGUCAUCUAUCCCAAAUUGAAUAUGUGAUCAAGCUUACUUGAAAAUACCAUGCUGGGUCACUGACUUUGGAAACAAAAAUGGGGAAGGAAGCACCUGAGAGAUAUAAAAAGCAUCUAAUGGAGAAUUUCCUUUCACCUUGCCUAAAAUACUUGGUAAAAGUAUUCUCUCAGUUAAAGCAUAGCAAAUUUAGAAUUUCUUUUGGUAGGCUAUAAUUAAGCUGUAAAACAUAUAAUCUCACAUAAUUUAAUUAAAACUGUACCUAGAGUUUAAAAAUAAAUGAUUUUAUUGUUGGAAAACAUAGAUAAUAGUUUAGGGAUAAUCAAAUUUGAUGCUCAGGACUAUAUUGAUAUAUGAAAAUUAUCUUCUGCCCUUGUAUCAGAAAUAACAGGGAAAACACACUUAAAUUUAUUUAAACUUAAGUGUUUAACUGAGAGUUAUCUUAGUGAAAGUAUAGGUCUCUUGUGGUAAAUAUUAGAAAUAUCCACAAAUUCUUGCUAGCUGUCAUCAUCGAGCCAUAUGACAUUAGCGGGGUAUUUUCAUUUCAGUCAGCAAAGUGUCUCACUUGCUAAGCUCCCAAUCUCUAUCCCACGCUGCCACUGGCUACUGUCUGAGCCCAGCAGCAACCUUUCCAUCCAUCUAGUUCGCAAGGUGGGUCACUGCCAUGUCAGUUUAUACAGAGGCCAUCUAUCUCAUGGCUCUUUUACUGUGUACUCUGCUCACAUUCCAAGCAUCUGCCUCCUAAUGGUUAUAGUAUCAACUCCCAGCAACCUGUUAAAAAUCAAGACCCAUAAGAACAAUAAUACCAACCAAUCAGAGCUCUCAGAGACUAAACCAACAUCCAAGAGUACACAUGGACAGACCCAUGGCUCCAGCUGCAUAUGGAGAAGAGGAUGGCUUUGGUGUGCACCAAUGGGAGGAGAAUCCCUUGGUCCUGCCAAGGCUCAAACUCCCAGUGUAGGAGAAUGUCAAAACGGGGAGGAGGCAGCCGUAACACCCUCAUAGAAGAAAGGGGUGUGGGGGAUGGGAUAGGAGUUUAUGGACGGAAAACCGGGAAAGGGAAUAGAUGACAUUUGAAAUGUAAAUAAAAAAUAUCCAAUAAAAAAAUCAAGACUCAAUAAGCUUGUAGUUUAGCAAUCAGAAACAUAUCAGUAAAUUCAAAACCCACAAACGUCUGCAAAAUAAACUCACAACCAAUCGAUAAUGAUAUAAACCGCCCACCUAGAUAACAUAUAUUCACCUAUAAAAAUCUAUCCCUUAUGAAAUACUCAUAACUACCUGCGACCAUUUAAGGCCACAUGGAUCUGGGUCCUCCUUUCUUUCUCCUGUCUCUCCCCUUACCAAAACUCUUUCCCUGCCUUAUUUUAACUGUCCAAUCAUGGGCUUUGCUCCAUCCUGGCCAUCCCUCACCUGCAUAAAGACAACAAUCCAUAUAGGUCAUUGUUUCUUUAUUCCUUGGUAAGGAAACGUAAUGUUUUAAACAUUUAAAGAUUAGAUAGUUGUCAGUGUGUGAAAGAGAACAAAUCAAAUUUGGAGAUUCUGGACUUCUUUUUCUUUGCAUUAUAAAAUUCGUUACUGAGUUUAUUGUUUCCUAAGAAACAGAAAUAAACCACGCCCAUAAGCAUAUUUCCAGUAAAAGUUCAUGCACACUGAAAGAAUAUUAAUUUACCUCUUGUCACUGCUGCGAUUUCAUUCUAUUGACAUGUGUCGGUUUUCUAUUUAUAUGGCCCAUAUGUUUAUAUGUAUAUUAUAUAUGUAUAUAUAUGCCUAUUGUGUGUGUGUGUGUGUGUGUGUGUGUGUGUUUGUACAAAGAGAGAGGGAUAGAAAGGGAGAGAGAGGGUGGUGGGGAAAGAGGAGGGAGUUGGAGGUGGGGAUUUACCAAAGUAUUAUCACUAUGCAAUAACAAGAAAUUAAUGCAUGCUUGGCUGCUCAUUUUUCUCACUAUGAUAUAAUGAUAUACUUAUAACAUUAUGUGUAUAGAAAAUACCUACACAUUUGCAAAUAUAUACUAUAUAUGCCUUUACCAUAUGAAUUAAGCAAAUAUUUUUCUUAAAGCUUCAUUCCUUAAUAAGCAAUUUCCCUAAAAACUUUUAUUUUAAUUUGUUAUCCAUUAAGUAACUAAAACAAGGAUAAUUUUAAAAACCAACUGGCAGGGUUAAUUGCAGGCUCAUCUUUGUAAAUUUUCCUGUGAAUAGUUUUGCUUUUUAUAUGUUCAAUGGAUUAAGGAACUACUCAUGUCUCAAUUUUAAAAUCAAAAAUACUUUUGAAAUAAAUGAUUUAAGUGAGAGCCAACAUACUGAAGGAGACAGUCAGACUUCAUUAUUAUUGGGUAAAGAUAUUUGCAUGUUUUAAAGGAAGAGGAUUUAUACAUAGAAAUGAUACUUUAUGAAAGAACGUUCAUAUCAUGGGUUAUCUAAAAGAAUUUAUUUUACGGUAACACUGAACCCCAACAUCUUGCUCAUAAUUUUAAAUGAUAAAUCAACAGGGGGUUGAUUUAUGUCAGAGUAUGUGCUCUCUCCCUCCCCUACAAUUUCUGUGCCUAUAAGAAUAGGUUUCUUAUGACCAAUUAAAGCUGUGCAAACAUCUCUAAGGGUGUUUCCAUGGUUUACCACUGGGAAAAAAGUCACCCAUAAUCAUAAGAUAUUUUUGAGAAAUGUAAUUUAGUAUAAUUUCAGUCAAUAUUUAAAACCAUUAUAUAGCAAUCAGAAUAAUCUUAUAUCAAGUACCUAUUGAUAUAUAUAUAUAUGUACAUAUAUAUAUAUAUAUGUUGCUUUUUAUUUUUCCCACCACCCUAAAAUGUAAGAGCUAUUAGCUCAGUUUACAAGAGUGCAAGAGAUAGGACAAACUGCACAGCCACAAAAUGAAUUAUUGUUAGAAAUGGUCACGUCUAUUCUUGAGAUGACGGGGGGAGGGGUGGGGUCAGUUUAGAGUCUACAUGAGUUCACAUCCAAAUCAUUAAGAACAUUUAUAGGUGGCACAAAUUUUCAGUGUUUAUAAUAAUGUUUGUUAUGCUUUGUUUACUUUGUUUUUGCAAAAAGUUUUAAUGCCUAAGCAGAAGUAUCUAAUUAGUGGAUUCUCUCUAUUUUUCCCAGCAAUGUCAAUGUAAUUGUAUAAUGUUUAGCCAAUGGAGCUAUAGAAAGAAUGCAACAAUUGAGCAUCAGAUGUUGUGUGUUUAUAAUUUUAUUAGAUGAUUGCUCUUGAAUUGGCAUGUUAAUAGAGGAAAGAAGGCCGGGGUUUAGAAAAUGAAAAAAUAGGAAGGAAAUUAGCCUAAGUAUGGCUCUCACUUUGGUGUGUAUGUUAUAGGAACAACAUUACAAUGCCCGCAUGUAUGUCCAUACACAUGCAUGCAAAAUAUUGUUUCGGCCUAAAUGAAAAUAAAAACCUGAUAUGUUUAAUCUAGAGAGAAUACACAAACUGGGUAGUAGAGAAAGAAUCACAAAGUUGAGUCUGGUAGAUGGAUUUUCUUGAGGAAGUGCAAUAUACAACUCCAAUCAGAAUAUGAGUUUAGACAAAGGGAGGAGGGAGGAAGUGAUUUAUGUCAGUAUUAAAUAAAGUCUAAAUGAAAGCUUGCGUAUUUAUGCAAACCAUGAAUUCUAGUAAGAUAUGUUGAGUCAAACCAAACAGAUAUGCUGAUGUAUAACUUCAUGUACAAGUGCUCAUACUUUCUGAGACUCAAUAAAGGGGUUAUAGAUACAAGAUGAGACAGUCACCCUUUUUGUGUACUUAGCAUUGGAAGCCUGCAAAAGUUUAGAAUUCCUGGCAUCUUGUGAGUGGAGUAGUUUUAGUCUCUGAUUCUCUGUGAGUCAUAAACAGAGGAAUGAGAGCUAAUCCAAGCUUGCAGAGUAGUGGAAGAACAAUAGCAGAGGUCUCCUGGUCUUUCUUCAUUGUCUUUCCGGUUGACUCCAGUUUUCUCAGUAAGCCAUAAGUAAAGAGUCAGGGAAACAGAACUGUGAUAUGAAUGUCUUAUACAGAAAAUUAGAAAAAAUAUUUCUUUAUCUAUAUCACUCUGGACAUGCAUUUUUCUUAUAUCUUUGGCAUGUGGAAAAUUGGUUUCAUAAUCUCCAGAGGAAAAAUUGCUAAUUUUUGCCUGGAGCAUUCUCUUUGCUGAUUCCUAUCUGAAUAUUUUCAACUCUCAAAUUAAUUUUACCCUAUUUGCUAUGUUGGCUGUAAUGAAUCAUAUUCAGAACCAGCAGAAAGUUAUACAAAAGACUACAGAGGAAAGAAAAACUGCAUCUGUUUUUUUUUUAACUGAUUCUGUUGAUUCUUACCAGGUAGCAUUUUUUUCUAUCUCUUAUUCUCAUUUAUAUGAAAAUCCAGAUAGAAAUGAAAGUAAUAUAUUAGCUGUUUUGGGAGAAAAUGUUAAGUCAAUUAUACUCUUGCAAGAUUUAUAAGAACUAAAGUGAGUUUAAAUUUGAAUUGUCAAAGGAAAUUUUACAUGCAUUAAGCACUCAGAAAACCCAUCAUAUGUUACUUAAUUAUGUACUGGGCUUUGAACUGCUGCAUUUAAAGUAGUAUUUUUAUCCUAAAAAAAUGAGUUUGCUUAGGGAACUGAUUCUAUGCAUCACUAUGCAUUUAAAUUAUACCUGUGGGUAUAAUUCAGAUAGUCAUAUAUGUUGGCAGUGAGAUUUGGAGAAGAGAGUGUGGGUGUUAGACAAUGAAACAAGGAGUUUUCCCCCUUAUAGGCAUCUGCUUUGAAAAGCAACAACAAUUGUCUUGUCUGUCUAAUGCUAGUGCCUUCAACCUCAUAUGUUAAGGUGUUCUGGAUUCUUUGUUAUAACUUAGAAUUUUAAGAAUAUGUACAUGCUGAAUCCCUGAAUAUUGAGCUUUUAUUUCUAAGUAGAAAACAGCUUAUCUCAGAAGAGUAAGUGCUGACCUUUAAAUCUUCCUUUCAACUGAAAUUUUCUUGAAACACAUUAAGCCCACAUUUUUAAAAUGCAAAGCACUGCAGAGAUAGAGAACUAUUCAACGAUAUAGGAGAGGAUCCCGUGUGUGCAUGGUGCAUCAGUAUACGCUCAUAGGGAAAUAUGGACAGAUCACGCACUGUGCUGCAAAUGAAAGUAUGUGGGAGGAAUAUGCAGUCUUAACAAACAUGUCUCUUCAUGCAUGAGAACCCUCACAUUGCUUUGACCCCAGUGACUUCAAUAUUAUUAACGUGGAUCACUUCUCAAGCCUUACUAACAUUUUAAUAUCUGCACUAACAGAAUUAUUUGGAAUGGAAUCAGAUGUUGAGAAUCCCAGCAACAGGCAUCAUACUUCAUACUGUUAUUUUAAAUGAAGAGUGGUAUGUCUGGUAGCCUGAAAAAGUAGCCACAUUUGAAACAAUAUUAGUGUUCGUUUUAUUCUUGUCUAACAAAAAAGUCCUAAAUCCAGAGUCAUAAUAUCACCUGGUCCCAGCCUGAGCUAAAAACCAAAUUGAGGAAGACAAUGCUUUACUUUUUAAGCCAUCAUGGGAGGAUGAACUUAAGAGGUGGAGGCAGCAUGUCUGGAAGGAUCACUUUUACUGUGUGGCCGAUUGUGAAGAUAAAACAAGGAGGAAAAACAUUAAUGAACAAAAGCCAUGGGCUUAUGCAAGGUGCAAGCCCAUACUUGACAAGGCGACUGUCAAGUAUACAGAACCAAGUUAGAUGUUGGUAGCUGAAUAUGUCAUUUGAAUAUCUAGUUUUCACUGGCUUUAUUUUUCGUAACAGUUUUUAAUUUAUACAGUCAAAAUAAUGACUACUUAGGCGACCUAACAUUUAAGAUCAUUAAAUUUGAAUUGAUUCAUAUUUCAUGUGCAUUACUGUUACAUUUUGAUAAAGCUCCAAUAAAAGUUUUAUAUACCUGAAAAUUAUUGAACAAUUGUUAAGAUCAGGACAUAAUUUUUUAAAAUUUGAUACUAGCAUUAGUAUAUUCAAGAGGAAGCUACAGUCUGCAGUAGUACCUUAAGACCAAAUAUUUAUUCAGCUUUCCUUUUUAAAUAUAUGACAUACUAUAUAACCAGUAUCUUUUUCCUUUUUUUCUCCUGUUUUUCUUCAGCAGUGUCUUUUUAUUGUAAUAAUUGUGCAUUCUAGGAGAUACCACACAAUUUAUGCGCCUCUUUUCUGAUGUGUUCAUGUAGUUUACACACACACACAUAUACAUUUAUUGAUAUAUAUUUAUAUAUAAUUAUAACAUAAUUUAUGUAAUUAAACAUGUAGACAAUGUUGAAGAGACAUUUUAUUUAUUUUUCAAUACAACCUCUGGAAAUUUCUAUGUAGUCAUUUUGAUUCUAUAAGUAUUGCCAUCGCUAGUUAUACGUUAUGCUAUUUCCUUUUAGAAAACAGUUUACUUAGUCUUCUUAGACUCAAUAUUCUGACUGUACUGUAUAAUUUCAACUGUAUAUUUAGAAUAUUUUCCAGCAUAUUGCUUUGCAUGUUUCAUUGUCACUUGUCAACAUUUACAUGUUCUAGUAUGAUAUGAGCUUUGCUGUGAAAUCAUCAACUUCUGCUUCUUGUUCUACCAGAGCACAGGAUGACUCAAGUUGGUAGAUUAUUUGCACACCAUGCACAAAGCCUUUGGGUUGAUCUUCCAUCAAUGCAUAAGCUGUGCAUGGCAGUUCAUACCACUGAUCCUAGCCCUUGGGUGUGAGCAAGACUCAAAUCUUAGCAACCAGAUUAAAAAUUCUCAGUCCCCUUUAGCUACAGGCUGAGUUAGAGGACAAAAAAAGGAAAGGACCACUAUGCAGUCUCAAAACAAACAAAAAGCUACUGUGAGCAUUUGACAACAUGAUCUGUGGGAGCUUUAGAGAAGGUGUAUUAUCUCUAAUGGUGUUAAGUUAUACUGUGUGACAGACACAGUUAAAACAAGUGACUAUAAAAGCAUCCAGCUAUCCCUUAUGUAUGCCAUCGUUUGGCCAUUUUAACUUACAUUAGAAAGGAAAAUCAGCCUUUUCUUAUAGGUAAAUGGUACAAUAUUUGAGUGAAUGAGUGUAUAGUGCCUCUUGACACAAUAUUAUCAUCUAACACAGCAUUGUUGUUUUUCAAGAAAAUGUUAUGCUUUUUUGCAUUAUAAUACAUUGUCAUGCACUCUGUGUUCUCACACUAUUUUAAGCAACUACUUAUAAUGAUUUUAAUUUGCAAGACUGUGUGGCUAAUAAGCUUUCUGUUUAAAAUCCUCACACUGAGCUUUCUAAGAGGACGUGGUCUACAUAUAAAAUCGUUGCAGAAGCAUCUGAACUAUAGGCAGAGAUACAUUACGAGCUGCCGUGACUGUGUUUUUUGUGGCUGCCUAGUUAGCUGUUGCUGGAACAGCUGAAGUAUGAGCUUACUGAUCCACUAAAGCCAGCUCAAACAAGAAGUACACCAACCUCAGUGGGACAUCAAACUCAUAUACAGAGUUGAGUUGAAAAAAUCUGCUUGGAAACGUGUUCAUGGGGUGGGAAUGCUACUUAAUGUAAAGACACAAGUUAGUCUUCAUAAACACAUGACAGUUUCUUUGAAGUAUUCCAAAACGUUCCUUCGAAUGUAAUAAAAUGGAAAAGUGCACCUUUUAGCUUAAGUGAUUAUUUUUAUAAUUAUAAAUGGUAUGGAUAAUAAAUUUGCUUGUUGAAAAUAUACAAUUCAAAAUAUAACUUGGAGACACUCUUACUGAACAUUUAUCAUACAUCAAGUAUUUCAUUUUUAAUAGUGUGUAUGUUAAUAUACAGCUAAUGAGUCAUUUAUAUGUAAUAAUUGAAUUUUAUUACAUUAAAUUAUAUCUUAAAUCUAACAUAUAUUUAACUCAUGUGCAUAUGAAUGACUACAAUAAAUAUAUUAUAGUUAAAAAAUGUAUAUGGCUGAUCCUGAAGAAUCAAGAUUGUCUAUUUGGAGCUAAGUACAAAAAACUUGAAUAAACAUCUCAAAUAUAUUUAACUAUGCGUAGUUGUUGAGCAGGAGAAAUUGAAACUCCCUGAAUACAGUCCCUUUCUUACAUCUUUAUUUUCUGGAAGUUCUUGCUCCAAUCUGGGGAAAAGACAGACCCCCUCCAUGAAAAAGUCAACCUCACUAGUUCAGAAUCUUUGGCAAGUACUACUAUAUGUGUAAAUAUGUUAAACACAAAGACCUAAGGCAUACAAGUAGAGAAGCAUCAAGUUCAUUCUGUGGAUUUAUGCCAAGAAAAUAACCUACAUAUUUAAUUUAAAUGCUAUAAUUUAUUUCCUGCACAUGCGUGUGUGUGUGUGUGUGUGUGUGUGUGUGUGUGUGUGUGUGUAUGUUUAGGGUGUAUACAUGUGUGUAUGUGGAAGUCAGAAGAUAGCAUUCAGUGUCUUCCGUUAUUUCUUUCCACUCAUACUGUUUGAGACAUUGCCCAUAUUCAGUCUCUCUGAACAUAGGACAUCACAUUCCAGAAAGAUUUUCUGGAUGUUCCAAGUUCUGUCUCUGCCUCUUUGCCCCUCCUCCUGCACACCCCCACCCCCCACACACAGACACGCACAUGCGCGCGCGCACACACACAUACACACACACACACAUACACACACACACACACACACACACACACACACACACACACACACACACACCGUGAACGAUGCCCUGCCUAGAGUUUAUAGGCUGCAAGUGAACCAAGUUCAAGUCCCUAGCUAUACAGCAAGCACCAAUGGGCCAUCAGUCCAGUCUCUGUGGUUGUUUUCUUUAAAUAACAACUAAAUAGAAGGGAGAAAAACAAAAUAUGCUUAUUGCAAUCACUAAUUUCCUGCUUGAAAGUCGUUCAUUGCAUAUCUGAAAUUGCCCAGUCUGUCUUGUCCCAUUCUCGUCCUCCUGUGUCCAUGUGGGGAGAUGAUAUUCAUGGUUAAAGGAAUUUGCUGAUAUAUCCUAAAUUUCUGAUCAAAAAUCCCCUUAAAAGUUGUGGUGAAUUUGUUUUCUGUUUCUUGAGCUUAUGGUCUGCUGCGCACUGGGGUUAUAUUACCUAAGAAUAUAACAGCUUUAGGUAGAUACAAAAUUGUUAGGACGGAGAUAGAAAGGAGGCUUAUUUUCUGCUUCUCUAGAUGGAAAAAAAAAACACUUCCUGGUUAGUUUCCAGGCUAAUAGUUCUUAGCAUUGUCUCUAGGCUCCACCCCAAACCGUAGUUAUUUGGCAAUAGCCAGGUAGGCUCCGCCCCACAGUUACCUGGCAACAGCCAGGCAAGCCUGACACUAUAAAGGGGGCAGCUAGCCCUGCCUCUAUCUUGCUCCCUUUUGUUCUCUCUUGCUAUCUUGCUCUCCUGCUCUUGCCCCCUUCCUCCUUUGUCCUCUCUCUCCCCCUUCCCCUCCUUCGCUUCUCUACACAUGCUCAUGGCCAGCCUCUCUCUCUCUUUCUCUCUCUCUCUCUCUCUCUCUCUCUCUCUCUCUCUCUCUCUCUCUCUCUCUUUCUCUCCAAUAGUAGAUCAGCAUUUGGGCCAAAAUAUGUAUUUCAUGAUACUAACAUUUUAUCAGAAUGAUAAUAUAAUACUUCCUGGUCACAAGAGAUUGGGACUUGAUUAUUCAUUUCAAGUCAAUUUUCAAGAAAAUUGCUUCACUUUAUAUACAGACAGAAUUACCCAAGCAAUAGUUCUGUAAGCGCUGGAGGACACAAGGAAUCCCAUGAAUACGCGUAUGAUAGACUAUAACUGAAGACUAAAUGGUAAUAAAUUUC